AAAUUUUCCAUUACAUGAUGGAUUGGCUCAACUUUUUGGCCAUGGUUUGGAGAGUUUUGAGUUAUGUCUCAUAUUAAUUAGUAAAAAUGAGUUAUUUGGAUUUAUAAGUAGGGUUAGUAUUUUAAGUUAGAUAUUUAAAAAUUUUAGGUCAUGUCCUCUUCCAACAAGUGGUAUCAGAGUCAAAUCCUGAUAACUACAACCUUAGUAGCCACUUUAGAAUGUGAUGGUGGAAUAACUCAUGUGUAUGAGACCAAAAAAUUAGAGUUUAAUCUACUCAAUAUAACAAUUUUUUAGAUUGAAUACCUGAAAAUUUUAAACCAAACCCUACAACUAGGAGAAGGAAAAUGCUUGGUGUAGAGACACACGAGAGAAAGACGAGAGAAACAAUGAAGAAAGGGAUAGAGAGAGAGUGAGUGGGUAGAGAGAGAGAGAGCAAAAUUCUCUCGUCUUUCUCUCGUGCUUCUCUCUCUCUAGCACUACUCCUAGGAGAAAUAUUGGAUGUAUUAGGUUAGAGAUGGACUUUUUGACUUUUGAUGAAGUACCACCAUUAUUGCCAAAAUAACAGUCAACUUGAACCACAAACUGGCAUCUUAUCACCAAUCAACUCCCACACAAAUCACUCAAGACACUCAUGGACAGUCCCACCCCUGAUGAACCAUCAAAUGCCCCUCCUAUACCACCACCGUUAGCACCGUGGGAGUUGACUGAUGAAGAAUGUUUUUAUGCUUCUGACCGAACAGCAGAAUAUAAAGAGAGGCAGAGUAUGGUUUAAAGGAAAAUAUGUCAAUAUAUUACGACAUUGUCAUUAGCAUUGGAAGCUGUAGAAUGAUCACAAUAUAUGUACAUAGACAGUGGCACUAUCAGGAAUUCAAUAUAAGAGGGGUUAAGUUAUACCACACCAAGAUUUAAUUUUUAAAAAAAAAACAAGUAUUGAAAUUUUUAAAUUUCAUUCAACACAUGAUAUAAUUUAAAUUCUAUAAUACUUGCUACUAUUAAUAGCGAUACUUAGUCAUACAUUAAGGUAGCACCGCCCGUCUAAAAUUUUAAUAAAAUUUCAAACAAGUCGUUCUAAUUAAAUACAUUUAUUCGUAACGUUAUUAUUGGUAUUUUCAUUAAAUUUACUAACAUCUCAUCUUUCUUUAUACAUUGUUAUUUAUUCAUCUCAACCUCAAUUUCUUUCUCUCAUCUAAGCCUCUCUCACUCUUCAUCCUCCAAUUUUAAUUAAAAAAAAAAACACCAUAUUAAAUGCUUGAAUUUUUUUUUCUUCCUGAAAUUAAAGAAUCUGAUUCAACAAAAUAAUCAUCUAUUGUUCAAUUCCAAUUGCAUAUUAUGAUUUAAUUCAAUAUUUUUACCAAUGAGAAACUUUAUGAUUCUUUUCUUUCAUAAUUCUCUCAAUUGAGUGCUUAAUGAAUUGCGAGCCCACUUAGUUUCUAUAUGUAUUGAUUGAAUUUAAAAAAAAAAAGAAUUGACUUUUAUUCAUUCUUAUUUUAUUCCCUGGGCCAGUCUUUAAAAAAAAUAGAUAUUAUAUUUUUUUACAACAUUUUUUUUUCUUUUGGUAUGGGAUACAAAUUACUAUAGUGGAUCAUUUUAUGUAUCUUUUUUGCAGUAGAGAUUUCUUGUAAAUGAAUAGUUGAAGUAUAAUUUUUGAAAAAAUAAAUCUCGUAAUUCGUUCAAGCUUGUAGAUGUAGUUUGUUGAUGGAGUCAAUCAUGGAAAUAACUUCUUUUAUAAUUAAAAGAAAGAUAAAAGAAAGAAACUCUCAUUAAUUUUCUUAAAUUUGAUAAUGAAAUUAACAAAUAAGAGGAAGGUAAGGGAAAUUCUUUUAAUACAUAAAUCCUAAAUCCCGAUUUUUUUAGAGAAGAAAUGAGUGAAGGAAGGAACUAAGGGGAGAUAACUUUCGUAUACAAAAAUUACAUGAAAUCAGAAGGGGCUUUUAGGAUAUUUCAUAAAUGAAUUACUUAAACAAAAGAAAUUUAAAUUUAUUUUUGAAGUCCGUAAGGGCUACACACCAUAUGGCGCCACCUUUGUAUAUAGAGUAAUAACCUUUUUGUAGUUUAUUUCCUUCGCAAUCAGACUUGUGAUAUAUUUUAGUCUCAAAAGUAUUUUUAGUAUUUCACCAACUCUAUUAUUGAAGUACAAAAUGAUGAAAUCAUUUUUACGCCUCAUAAAAAUCUUGGGAUCACCUCUAGAUGAGUCCCCAAUAGAGGUACUCCAACUCAUUCCCUCAGGAGGGAGGGAAGAGCUUUUACCAACUAGCUAAUUGCCGAGCCUAGAGGUCAAGACCGAGCUUCUUAGCUUCUCAAUAUUUGAUAUCACUUGAAUCUCCCCAUGUGUUAUGAGACAAUUAUGUCCUCCAUUUUGGGAUUUGAUAUUUUCAAUUUGACUUUAGCUAUCAUACAUCAAGAUUGAAUAUUUUCAGAUAGACUGGUUUCGUAGACUUCUGAUACAAUUAGUUGUAGCUUUAUAGUGUACCAUAUAAUUUGUAGUAUUUAAAACAGAAGAAGAAGAAGAAGAAGAAGAAGAAGAAGAUAUAUCAGACGACCUAUUUAUUUUUAUUUAUUUUCCAAUUUGAAAAUACAUAUUAGAUGUAGUCUACUUUGAUUUUUCAAUUUCAGAUAAUCACUUUUUUUUUUCAGUGUUACGUCGCUCAAGACGAGUAUUUCUUGGGGACACUCUCUGUAAGAGAAACGCUUACUUUCUCAGCUCACUUGAGGUUUCCAACUAAAAUGACCAAUGAUGAGAUAAAUGACAUAGUAGAGGAAACAAUCAUCAAAAUGGGUCUCCAAGCUUGUGCUGAAACCAAGAUAGGAAAUUGGCAUUUGAGGGGUAUCAGCAGUGGGGAAAAGAAAAGGCUUAGCAUUAGCAUUGAGAUUUUAACACAACCCACUGUCUUAUUACUUGAUGAACCCACUAGUGGCCUUGAUAGUGCUUCAGCUUUCUUUGUGAUUCAAGUUCUGAAAUGUAUAGCACUUGAUGGAAGGAUUGUCGUCUGCUCUAUUCACCAGCCCAGCAGCCACCUUUUUUAUUUGUUUGAUGAUUUGCUCCUCCUCUCUAAUGGAGAAACAAUCUAUUUCGGGGAUGCAAAAAUGGCUGUUAAGGUAAGUCAUAAUCGAAUAUAUAUGUAUAUUCGAUAUAAAAUUGACUGAAUGUUCUUAACUUAAUGAAGUCUGAUUUAAAAAAUUGCCAUGCAGUUCUUUGCGGAAGCCGGGUUUCCUUGUCCAUCAAGAAGAAACCCUUCGGACCAUUUCCUUCGAUGUAUUAAUUCUGAUUUUGACAAGGUUGCUGGAAGCUCACUGAAAUCUCAAGCACCAACUGUAUGUACAGAAAACAAGCUUGCUUCCUAUUGAAAUCAAUUUCAGAAUCUGUAUUAUGUCUUAUGGCUUGUGUUUCUUUCUUGCUUGGCUACAGGAGAUUCCAAUGUCAUCAAAUUCCCAAAUGUAUUUGUCUACAGAAAAGAUCAAAGCAAAGCUUGUGGAGGAAUACAGGAAUUCUGAAAUUUCAAUGGAUAUAAGACAAAGAGUUCGAGAGCUUGCACAUAAUGUACUAUGUAUGAUAUUUUUAUUUUCUAUAAUCUAAGAACAUCAAUAAUACCAUUUACGACUGAAUGUUUCAGGAACAAGAGGAGACUGUAUUGAGCAAGGACAGGGCAAGCUGGUGGAAGCAGCUCUGCAUAUUGAGUCAUCGGUCGUUCCUAAACAUGUUAAGAGAUAUGGGAUACUACUGGUUAAGGAUAGUCUUCUACGUUCUAGUGUCAAUAACUGUUGGCAUUCUGUAUCUCAAUGUCGGAUUAUCCAACCCUGCAAUCUACGGGAGGCCAAAGUGCGUAGCGUUCAUUUAUGGUUUCUUGAUUUGCUUGUCAGUAGGAGGCUUACCAUCUUUCAUUGAAGAGCACAAGGUAAAGGAAAUUAAUCCUUAGUUUCUAAAGAUCAUUUGAUUUCUCUAGCUAAACUUUCUGCUGUAAUUUCUUCAUGGGAAACGCAGGCUUCAUACCGCGAAAGAAUCAGCUGCCAUUAUGGAGAGGCUGUGUUUGUACUGUCAAACUUCCUCUCAUCGUUCCCUUUCCUGGUGAUAUUGUCCAUAUCUUCAGGAACAAUAUUGCACUAUAUGGUGCAAUUUCAUCCAGGAUUUUCCCACUACUGCCAUUUCUGUCUGAGUCUUUUCUGCUGCGUUUCAAUCGUGGAGACUUGCGUGAUGGUUGUUGCAUUGUUGGUACCUAAUGUUUUGAUGGGAAUAGGAGUUGGAACUGCUCUAAUAGUAAGCAAAACUCUGAACUCAAAUCUCCCUAGUCAUAUUAUGCACAUAUAUUUGCUUGAUAGAUACUAUCAUCCAUCAUAUAUAUUCUGUAACUACUCAUGGAUGUAGGUACUUAUGAUGAUGGUGUCUCCAGUUUUUAGAGGUGUUUCUGAUCUUCCCAAGUUCUUCUGGCAGUAUCCAAUGUCCUACAUCACUUUUGCUACAUGGGCAAUAGAGGUAUAAUCUAUGGGCAUUUUCUUCAAUUACAUAUCUGAACAUACUUGUAGGCUUAAAGGCUUAUAAAUCAUGUGUAUGCUGUAGGCAUUUAUUUUAACUAUCAGAGCAUUGUUGACUAGACUAAUUUCAAAUGGUCCAUACAAGGCCCCGUGUAGUAGUGUGGUUGGGUAAUUACAUCUUAAAAAUUUCAACAAUAAAAUAUUAAGCACCCCAUAAUUUGAAAACUAAGUUGAUUUUAAUCUAACACUUAUAUGAUAAAAAACCGAUAAUAUCUAUAUUAUUUUUAUCAAAAUUUUUAUUUAAAAAUUAUAUUUAUAAUGCAUUAAUAACUUUUAUUUCAAAAGUCACAAUUUUUUUCUCAUAACAGUUGUAACUUAUAAGUCACAACACCUUAAUAUCAAAACAGACCAAAUUUGACUUCUUAUUUGGCUUCUUAUUUAGCCUAUAAUGGAGGAUAUCUUCUGAACUUGUAACAUAGGGCCAGUUCAAGAAUGACAUGAUAGGGCUCGAGUUUGAUCCUGCGGUUCCUGGUGACCCAAAGCUUAAGGGUGAGGAAAUUCUACUGAAACUUUAUGGGGUUCAGCUGAAUUACUGCAAAUGGUGGGAUUUGGCAGCUCUCUUCUGCAUACUGACAUGCUACAAGAUUGUCUUAUUUGCCACAUUGAAAUAUAAAGACAAAGCAUCAAAGCUAUUACACAGACUUUUCGCCAGAAGUAUUUUCCGACAAACACCUCAAAAAGAUGAUGUCAACAAUAUCUCUGUUGUGCCAUAAAUAAAAUGUUAUCAAGAGAUUAUUUAUAAAUGAUGUUUUUGAAUUAUCAAUAGUGUAUUCUUAUGCAUGACAUAAUGAGAAGAAUUUUUACUUGAUUUUGUUAACAGAUUCAGUUAUGAUCCUCUGAAAAGUUGUGUGUGUUUGUAACAUCUAGGCCAACAAACAGGCAUCUUUUUGUACAAGAUAAUUACCUGUGCAGAGAAAUCAGAUUAAGUCAAGUCAAGUUAUUAAUAAUAAGACACAAAGAUAAGAUCUCAAAUGGUAUGACAGUUACUGGGAGAUGUAUUUGUCCAAAUUUAAGUUUAGAAACGAAAGAUGUAAGUACACUACUAGAAAGGUCCGCAAAGAUGAUAGCUAACUCAUGGCAACUAUUUUUCCAAUCAUAACGUAUAAAAUCAGAUAUGAUGAUUAUUUUUGUUCCUUGAAUUCAACAUAAGGCAAUAAGAUUCCGCAGUGACGCAGACUGUACAAAAGAAUCAAAGAUGAAAUAUGUUCUCUUUGCUUCAAAUUUACAAGUUAGCCGAAAAGUUCCACACUACAAGGGAUUUUAAUUAGAAAUACAAGUAAAUUUCUUACUUCAGUCAGGAGAACAUACUCAAAAUGUGAACCAAAUUCCAUCGCUGAUCUCCAAAUUUACACGUUGACAAAAAUACAAGAUUGGAGAAUCGAAAAUCGAUAACAAUUCAUUGGUAACUCUGCAGGUAUAAUCUACAUGUAACAUAUCAAUACAAGAAAUCAUUGUAAAAAUUGAAGCAUUAUUCAGCAAUCAGUUUGCAAGGAACAAAAUUGAAUAAUAAAAUGACAGCAUUAGCCAAAAAGGUACGUAAAAUACUCAUUUAUUUGCUUCAAUGAAUUCUCUGUACUCUUUCUUCAUUUUGACUCCUGGUACAGUCCUGCAUAAACCAAAAUGGAAUGGUUGGACUAGUUACCAUGCACAAAAGUAGGGGUGAAAUACUCAUAUUGUUUCAUUACAUAUUCCUCAUGAGUAAAGAGAUGACUGAGAUGAUGAUACCGUCAAUACCCUAUAAUCAAGUUCGAAGCAUAAAGAAAAGAUUCUUGAAACUUGAAAAGAAAUGAUUAUGCUAACUAUUGCCUGAAUUGAGUCCAAGCCAACAAAGUGAUACUCAAGUAAAAGGUUCACACGCUCUUCUUAUGUCAAAAAUGUUAUCUCCAAAGGAUAGACUAGCUAUUAGUUGGUCUCUUGCUGUGGAAACAAAAGUCAAGGCUUUAAAUCCAAGGAGAAUCAUUUAAUUUGGGGUGGGGAAGGGUGGGGUGCACACAAGCUUGGGAGCAAAUAAAAAAUUAUUAUAAUAUGCUUGCAAAGAGGAAAAGAAACAUGGAUGAAAGAUCAAAAUUUAGCCGACCUGAUCAUCUCCUUGUUCUUGAAAAACUGCACACAUGGUGUACCCAUAAUUCCAGCAGCUUCUGCUAUUUCUGGAUCUUCCUCUAUAUCGAUUUCAACAAAAUGUACAUUCUCAUCAAAUUCAUCUAUCACCUGCCAUUUGUGAAAGCAGCAAAAGUUUAGCAAAUUACUGAUUAGUCAUUUACAAAGAUAGGUGUAAUGACUGUCCUCGCAUACCUUGCCAAGUAUUGGCUUUAAAGUCCUGCAGGGACCACAAGUUGGUGAAGUAUAUAGUACACAUAUAAGCCUUGGACUUUCAUGGUACAACUUUCGUAGAGCAUACUGAGGAAAAGGAAAACGAAAGAUAAGUCCAGGCAUAAGCUUUGAACUAAAAUGCUUCAUUAAAUCCUAAAAUUAGAAAGACGACGCUCCGUAAGAGGUGAAGAAACAUUGAAUUGUUCAUCCUGUUAAAGGUAGCAUAUUGACAGAAAUGAACAAGUACCUGGCCCUUGUGCUUUGUACAUGUGAUGUCAAACCCUUCUUGAACAUCUCUAUCUGUAAGGUCCUUCUUAGGCUCUUCAGCUUGAGGCUGCAAAUGAAAGAAGAUGGAAAUGAUUAAGUUUUAUACUAUGUUACAGACCCAGAAAAUUUAAUAUACCUAUUAAAUAACAUAAAAUCCAUGAAUCGAUACCCCAAAAGUAGAUAUGACCGUACAGGAAGCCAAAAUUGAAAGCCUUUCUUAAUUAUCAAUAUUUUUGAUUUUACAUUUCAAACUUCAGGAACAAGUUCAUAGCCAGAGAAAUCAAAUUAACCAAAAUUACUCAGUCCAGCUGAUACAGAAAAUUAUUUUUCUUUUUGAUUCGUGUGAGGAACCUUCCCAUAGAGCGCAAAAGUAAAAUGCAAAAAGCUUAGCUCACCAGAUAUUCCUGCAUCUAUUAUGCAGCAAAAGACUUGUCUAAGGUUGCCGAAGCAUUAGGAUCAAGAAAGUAUAUGAUAUUGUCUUGUAAGCAAUUUGCAGUUAAAAAAAGUGAGAAAAGCUUCCCAGGAAAAUUUUUAGUUAUAAUAUUAUAUCAAGAAUUAUGUCCUCAUUAUGUAUAUGCACUAUCAUUGGUUUUUGUCAUCAUACAUGCAAUAAAUUGUCAAAUAAAUUUUGUGCAACCAGAUCAUCAAUGUGAAAAAGCAGCAAGUUUCCAAAGGUGUUCAUCUAUAACUUCAUUAAAGCAAAAUCAUAUCAUGCAUUGUGAAGUUAAUAUAUAACAAGAAACAAGUAGAAUAAAUUAAGCUGAAUAGUAUUAGGAAGAUAAUUACCUGAUGAAACUCAAUAAGGAGAUUAUUGUUCACAAGGUAUCUCUCCACUGACAAAGCAGCAAUGCAUCCUGAUCCAGCAGCAGUUACUGCUUGUCUCCACUCAUGGUCCUAUUCAGUAAACAGGAACCUAAUUAUUGGACGGUCCAAAACAGUCAAAAGGCCACCCAAACAACCAAAAAAAAAAAAACGAAAACAUAAAACUGUAGAAGGAACCAGGCGGCAAACAACCAAUUCUUCACUGAACCUCAAAAGAAUUCACACGUUAUAAUGUCUCAUAUAUGAAAUUGAACAUUAAAAGAAAGACAUCCCUCCCCUAAUUGAUUUUGGUCAACGGCUUCGAACGGUUUAUAUAUGCAUUGAAACAUAUACCUCAAAGUUUACUGCAUAAAUUCAUCUCAUAUUGGACAUAUGCAGAAAAUCAAAUCUAUACCAAGAAAGAUACAACAUAUUGAUUGGAGAAACAUUCAUCUCUACAAUGGUUGAAGUAAUCUAACCAAUCCAACCAAAUUAAAAAUUAUGCAAAACUUUUAUCCUGGAAAAGAAAAAUUAGUAAGAACUUAAAGCAUAACAAACUUCUAGUCAAGCAUAGCAACUCUAUUGGCUCACAUGCAAUUUAAAUUUGAUGCAAGUAGCUCAUAAUGAUCUAAAUGUGUAAAUUUUUUCCACAUUGCUUGUCAAAUUCUAAAACAAAAAUGACAACUUCUACAAUUUUUAAAAGCAUCACACUUCCAACCAAGCAUUAAGAGAUACUUUCCCAAAUCAGUUUAAAGAAUUUCCUCGAGCGAUUAGCAAACAAGUAAUUCUUCGAGAGACUAUCGUUACUUGAUUCUAACAACCGAUAAUUCUAACUACCACUUUAUCAAUUAUGACCACUACUACAAUCAUGUCGAUGACAGGACUGCAGUCCUGAGAAGGAUAGUUGGGACAGAUAAUUAAUCUUGACAAGCCCUUGAUGAAAACUGAAUGAGAUUUCAAAUUUAAAGGCUUUGACCGGAGUACCUGCACAUCUCCAGCUGCAAAUACACCUUCAACAGAAGUUUUUGCAGUACCCUCCUCAACAAUCACAUAACCUGAGCUGUCAAGUUCAACUUGGCCUUGCAGCAACUGGCUAUUCGGUGAAUGACCUAUACCAUAAAAUAAGCCUUUUGCCUCUAGCACAGAUUCCUCACCAGUGUCAACUUUUCUAAGUAAAAUGCCGGACAUUUGGCCUUUUGUAUUGCUGACAACGUCAACUGUCUCCGUAUUGAAGUGCACAGUGAUAUUUGGGUUGUUGAACACUCUGAAACAUUCGCGAUAACCAACCUGUUAAACAAACAUUCAGGGAGUUGAAAACUCAACAUAGAAAAUUUUCAUUAGUACAUAAUUCAUCGUCAAGGCAGCCAACUAGAAACAAAAAGGAGAAUUUACACACCAUAGAGCAACAAGAAAUGCCAUAACAAGAGUAAUCAAUGAAAAAAUAUAUGAAAAACAACAUGACGCUUCAACUGUUACAUAAGCAAUCCACCUAGUAGCCUAGUAUUGUGAAACCAUAAGCUGCUAUCACAGAAAAGGAUCACUGAAGCACUUUGGAGUCACAAUUAGUAAAAAUUCAACCACAACUUGGCAGAAAGAUCAUAUAAAAUAUGCUAAUAAAAAAAAGAAUAUGCUCCCCUUAUACUCCUAUAACCAACUAUAACAGGCAUAAAAAUAUAAUGUUAUAUGCAGGCCAUAUUACAACGGAUACAUCAGAUAACCCAUAGAAUCUUUACCUAAUAAAAUGGAUAAUGCUUGCAACAAAAAAUUAUAAUGGAACUUCUGAUCCCACAACAAAUAUUCUUUUUGAGUGUUUAAAAAUAUCAUUUAUUUUAAAACAACCUAAUAUAUCUAGGGAUGGCAAUGGGGAGGGGAAGGAAGAGGAUCGACAUCCCCAUACCCAUCCCCGUCCCUGAUACUCUUAUUUUCCGAACUUAUGAUCAUAUUAAAAUAAAAGUUAAAAAUAGAAACGAGGAGGGGAUGGGGAUUAAAUUGUCCCAAUCCCUUCCCCGAAUAAGAAUUUGGGUAAAUAUUUGUCACUGAACCCUCCCCGAAUGAGGAAAUUGCCUUAGGGCCCCAUCCCCGUGGGGAUUUCUACCACCCCUAUAUCAUCAACAUGCUUGCAAAAAUACCUCUUUAUCUAUAUUAAUAUACAUCGAAAAGAAAGCACCAGAAAAAAUCAUCCACUAAAAAAUCUAUUAGGAAUGAAAGAAAACCAUAAGAAAGGGGAAAAAGAAAUCAGAUUAGACAUAAAUGCAUAAAUACUCCUGUCGAAAAUUCAAUUUCUACAUACAUAUAUGAGUAAUAUACAGUGAGGCCAAACAACCAUAGCAUAGAGAAUAAGCCAUAACAACUUCCAAAGAACAUGAAAAAAUACGAGACAAGAUUGAGGUUUCACCCAUUCUCACCUAUCUUGCAUUGCUCUGGAUGCCCUUAGCUGUUCCCUACGAACAAGUAAAUGAACAUGACGAGCAAAUUUCGUUAAGUAUAUUGCUUCCUCUGUAGCUGUAUCACCUCCUCCAACCACGGCAAGAACUUGCCCUUUAAACAGGGGAGAUGCUCCAUCACAUAUUGCACAAGCACUGAUUCCUCUACUCCAAAACUCAUCUUCACGAGGUAAAUUGAGCCUUUUUGCAGUUGCUCCUGUAGCAAAAACAAUGCUGUGGCACUUAACCUGAAGUUAAGCAUCAGAAAGAAAUUUUAAGAGCCUAUAACCAACAAGAAAGUUUUAAAAGAAUAGAUCUACGGACAAUGAAUAUCAAAUGCAACCAGAAAAGAAUGGUAAUGCGACUUGCAACUUGUGUCACACACACAGAGAUUAUGACCACAGAAUAUGUGUAACCAUAUAGAGGAAGAUUAAGGCACAAGUUUUGCUUGUCAUAUCUUAAUUUCUAAGUGAAACAAACAUACAGUAAGACAUAAUGAAUUAAAAAAAUUGAGAAUCUUUUCUGUAAUAUAAAGCAAUACAGCAUUUAACUCAAAUGAUAGUUGUCCCUGGGGUCCAAUUUCAUUUAUAGACCAAUCAAUGAUGGAGUGUCCGAACUAUCACUAAGUGUUCAAUUCAACUUUGGAGUCUUGGAAGCUUUGGUUAUUUAUGAACAAAUGUAUAUACAAUGUCUUUAUAUCAUUUUGAUAGAAACACUUCAACACCUUUAUAACAAUGUGCUGCAAAACAGUAUAUCACCUUACGUUCUCCACUCUUCACAGUAAAAGGAUUGCUCUUGACAUCAAUAAACUCAACAUCUUCUUGAUGAAGUUCUGCACCCCAACGUUCAGCUUGGCGCCGCAUCCUACAGGUGGAAAAAAAAAAUGUCAUCAUGCUAUUCAACAAUCACCGGUAGCAUAUUGUCAGAUACAAAUAUAAUUUACAUUCACAAAAAAUGGUAGAGUAAGCAAAUCGUUCAGUUUUUCAAUACCUGUCCAUCAAAUCUGGACCAGUUAUUCCAUCUGGAAAACCUGGAAAGUUCUCCACUUCAGUGGUAGUCAUCAAUUGCCCACCGGGAACACCACCUGCUUGAUAUCCUUCGAACACUACAGGCUUCAAGUUGGCACGAGCUGCAUAUAUUGCUGCAGUAUAUCCAGCAGGACCUGAGCCUAUAAUUACUACAUUCUCAACACUUUUUUCUGCAAGAAGUAAAACAAGAUAGAUAAGCACAUUUUCAACGAUCCAUAUAGCUUCAAAGUUAUUACAAUUAGCAAGAAUGGAAUAAUCCUAAAAGUAUAAGGAAAACUAAUUCUAGUCCUCACACCUGCAGCAUGAAGAAGCAAAUAAAAUCAAACAGAAAUCAAUUCAAUUGUUCAAUCCUUUCUGAAGAAAGAGACAAUUGAAAUUCCAACCUAGCUAAAGGCAAGAGGAACACAGACUUAAGAACACAUAGUUAGAACUAGGCAACUAAGUUGACAUCAUGUGCAAAAUAAAAGGACAGAUGAUGUAAGAUAAAAGAACUCAUCAUCAAGUGGCCACUAACUGAAUUUGUUCAAUUAUCAUGACAAAAUGAAAAGAACGAAGGUAUCAAGCCUGCAAAGGCCCAAAAAGGUGGGCAUUGGUAUUUCUUGUGGUUUUUAAGUCCUUAUAUUGAAUUAAGAUAUUUGCCAUAUCUCAUACUUCUUGAAUAUGGAAUUAUCUUCAUCAUAUUGUAGAUAGUACAAUUACUUAAGCUUGUAACCCCCAUCGUAUGAUUUGAUCAAUGUUUGAGUCCCAAAAAAGGAAAAUGGCAUAUACAGCACAACCGAUAUGGUUAACACAAUUGAGAUUGGGGUGCAAAUAUCAUCAGAGAGUUUAUUGAACUAGAAAUUUCAACGAUUAACAGAUUUUCCAUAACGAGGUAAUUCUUAUAACCAGUGAUCCGGUAUACAACCAGGCAAGCAAAAUCUUCAAUCAGAAACCAGAAAAACCACUUGUUAACCACAUAAAAGCCAUAACAUGCCUGCAAUGACUUUCAAGUGACGCAAAGUACAAUCUCUACUAUAUGCAGAUUUUGCAAUUUGCAUAGUAAUACCUUAAACAGUAUAUCCUACUCUAUGAAGUAUUCAUGAACUGCCAUAUAAGAACCAUUGAAACAGGAGCACUUUAACUUGACUAAAAAUUUGUUAUCAAAUCUUGCGCAUUACAAAGAAAUUUCUGCUUCUACGAAACCUAACACAUUACUCAACAAAAUAAAUAAAUAAACAAUAUUUAACAAUUAAACUAACUUGAUGAUUACACUAUAGUUGUUUUACAUCGACAAAACUACAUUACUCAGAUAAGAAGGCGGAAUAAGGAACUGGGAGUGACCUGCAGAGGAAAGCACGUCCACGGAGGAAGCAGCUCUGACUCGGAGGGCGGGAAGAUGAUGAGGACCACUCGGUGAGUUGACUCGGAGAGAGCGGUGGCGAGUGGAUAAGGUAGAGUUGAAGAGGAAGAUAGAGUUAGAGUUAGAGUUAGAGUGAGACAGAGGAGGAUGAAGUGGAGAGAGAGUGGACAUGGCGACUCGGUGGUGAUGAGUCGGGGCGGUCCCGGUCCCGAUUCCGGUUCCGAUGCCUAUCUUCGUAGACGCAGCCAUUUGGUUUGAGGCCAUACAAUUUUUUAUUCUUGUUAUUAUUAUUAUAAGCUUUCUGCUUCCAGCCAGCCUUUCAUUCGGCUUCAGCAGUUUAAAUGCGGCCUUUGCUUUUUUUUUUUUUGGAAAAUUAUCAUUUGUAUACCCUUAGUUUACUCUAUUAUUAAAAAUACUACAAUACUUUAAGAGUGUAUUAAUCGUCUACCCUAAAUUGAUAAAAUAUAUCAGCUGACCACUAAACCGUUAGUUGCUGUUUAAGUAUGAUGACGUCAAAAGGGUAAUUUAGUCUUUUCAUAUGAUACAAGUGAUAAUUUAAGGAUAUACAAGUGAUAAAAAGAGAAUUUAAGGGUAUACAAGUGAUAAUUUUCAAGGGUAAAAUCAUCAAUUCACUGUAACUCCGUUAACUUUCAAACGGCAACUAACGGUUUGGUGGUCGGCUGAUAUAUUUUGUUAACUAAGGAUGGACGAUUAAUACAUCCUUAAAGUAUUGUAGUAUUUUUUAUAACAGAACAAAUAUAAGGUAUAUGAAUGAUAAUUUCCCUUUUUUUUUUUCAAUUGUUUAUUAGUUUGCUUGUCUGUUACUUUCUUUGUUUGUUUCAUAUGUCACUGUGGCACACGCGCGACACAGUUAUCGUUAGCCGCUCGAGUAGGGAUAAUAAGCUACUCUCUCUCAAACAAUUAGUUUUAAAAAAAUAUAAACAAAAUUUUGGUUGUUAAAAUGAUGGAUUUUAAAUAAACUAAAUUCAUCAAAUAUUUUGAUUUAAUAAUAAUUAGGUUUCAUUCCUUGUAGUAUUUCAUAUAUCGUAUUGUGCGAUUUAUACACUGAGCAUCGAUAUGGGAACUAAACCCCAACAAAACUAUGAUAAAUACACACUCAAAAUAAUGUCAUUUUGGGUGAGUUCGGUUUUUCUUUUUAAAAUUUGCCUAAAAAAAAUUUGUUAGGGGUUUACUAAGGUUUAAUUCCCAAUCAUUUUUAUUUAUAUAUGUUCUGAUAAUUAAUCUAAAAUUCUUUAAUUUUUUAAUUCAGUCAUCAAUUUAAACUAGAAAAAAAAUCUAUUAUGUUUUUCUUACACUGAGUUUGGAAAAAUAAAAAAAAAAAUUCAAAAGAUUACAAACUGAAAAUAUCAAUUAAAAAUUGCAAACAUUUUUAAAAAUAAAAUUUAUAUAAAUUUUAAAAUUAAAAUUAGCCCCUCGGUGUAAAAUGGGGCUAAUUGAUUCAUAUAAUAUAUUUAAAUUGAUUCAUGACUGAUCAAUCAAUUUUUGUUAGUCUUUAAUUUUUGACUUUGUAGUUCGUAUUGAAAAUCUCUAUUAUUACAUUAAAUAUGUUAAACUGCAAAUUAUCUAUUGACGACAAACAUAGAGCAACUAUAAUAAAUGGAUUAAGAAAAAAUAAAAAAAUGUGGCAACUAUAAUAAAUGUUUAGGUGCCAUGCAUUCAACAAAACAUAUCAAAGUGACAAUAAAUAAAUGUGAUUCCUUGUUAAUUUACCAAGUAGAUAAUAUAAUGUGAUCAUGCAUGCAUUUCACAUAAACUGCAAAGUAAAGAGAACGGACAGGAAUGCAUCCGAGUGCUUCAACAGUCGAUUUUGCCUUAUAAGGACAUGCAUUUGUUGUUAAUGCUUGAGGAGAUUAGGUGCAGAUUGAUUAGUAUUAAAAAUUGUCUAAUUAUCAAGCGAUAAUAAUAUUAUUUUGUGCUUAUAUUAUAAUUUAUAUUUAUGUUUAUGCAAUAUAUUAGGAAUUAUUAAUUAUGUUUUAAAUAUAUCUAAUUUUGUGUAUUUUUGUGUGUUUAUUAGUUAAAAUAUUAAUUUCACGUAAUUCGAGGCUCCAAACAGAUAAACGGAGGUCAAAUUUGGAUUCCAGAGGUCCGAAAACUUUAAGAUCAGUCAAGAUCGACUUAAAAUUGGGCUUAUGUAAAAAGAGUUGACUUUUCCUGUUGACCGAGCACUGGUUGGAUGAUUAAAUAAGCUUACAAUAGAUAUGAGUGCAUGGGAUAGCUGGCAAUUUUGACUAAAUCUUAACCGUUCAUGAUUCAAUGGCCAUAAUUGUGCCACGUGGUAAUGGUUGGUGAAGCAAGUUGUAGGAUCCAAAUUUUUGUAUUUAGGUCGACCCGAUCCACCCAUUAACCCGCCAAAUCUCAACCGUUCUUUGGGCAAAUCGGACGAGUCAAACGAUGCCACGUGUGAUGUUGACUUUUGAAGUUUGACCAGCCAUUGGAUCUUGAUCUAAAGGUUGUGAGGAGCACAUGCAUGAAGCUUAUGAUGAACCGCAACACACUGGAUUAUGAAUUUAUUUUUCUAUAAAUAGAGCCUCAUUUUAUGUUUUUAAUCAUCUCUCUACAACUCUCUUCUUCUCAAAUUCUCUCAAGCUCCCUGUAAUCUUGAUUUUCAGGUGUGUUUUUAAUAUUUUGUAUAAUUAUUUUUAUAAAUAAAAUUAGUUUUAUUUUCAAUUUUAGUUGUUUUUAUUACUUUUAAUUAUAAGUAAUUCAAUUUUAAUAUUUCUUUUCAUUUCAAUUACGCUCAACUAAAUAAUAUUAGUUAGGGGAAGGUGAAACUCUUAGGAAAUAAAUAUGAUUUAAUCAAAUUUUAUUUUUAAUUUUAUAAAUUAAAUUAUUUUCUAUUUAAUUUUAUACAUAUUUUAUAUUUUGAAAUUUUGAUUUAUUGUAGAGAAACAAAUGAUUUUGGCACAAUAAAUUCUUAAUAUCUUAAUAUAAGGUAUAGUAAAAUGGUAUUUUGACUUAUUGUGGACAAAUUAAAUUUUGGCACAAUAAAUACUUAAUCCAUCAUAAAAUUAAAGGGAAAAUAAUAAUAAUUUAUAUAAUUAAUCUUUUGGGCAAUAAAUCUAAAAAAAAAGGCAAAAAGAAUUUAUUAAGUUUUAUUUACUACUAAGAGUGGAUCCACAACCCUAACUAGUUCAAUUUCAUAGUUUCAUUUAAAUUAAGUUGUUUAUAUUCAAGUUUAAAUUUUAAUUUUUAGUUAAAAUAAAAUAAACAAAUUAAAUAUUUUUUCUGUGGAUCGACCUCAGACUCAGCGAGUUAUAAUACAACAAGACACUCUUAUAUUUGGGAGUUAAAAAUUACUUUUAAGUUGUGUUAAGUUUUUGGCGCCGUUGCCGGGAAAAAAUUUUUAUUUUGCUUUAUUUUUCCGUUUUUGAUUUUUCUCUUUGUGUAAAUUUUCGUUUGCCCCCUUUUGUUUUUCUUAAAUGCUCUUUUGUCCUUAUAUCUUUCAUAAUUCUCGUUUCACCCCAACAAUUCUCGUUCUAGCUCAAUCUUCUCAUAAUUACAUUCUGACCCUAACAUCUUUCAGCCGUUUCACUUUCAUCCCAACUGGCUUAAUUCUAAACUUCUAAACAUUACGGUGUGACCAUAAAAUUAUAAAUAAUUUACAAUAAGAUCCCUGGACGAAAUUUCUCACAAUAAUCAAGACUUCGACUUAUCUUGGACUUAUUUGGACACAAUUUGGACUUAAUUUGGAACAAACUAACUCUAACUACUAACUCUUAACUUAUUAACUACUAACUACUAACUCCUAACUUUUAUUUAUUUUUUUAUUUCAGUUAUUUAAUUUUCUGUAUUUAUUUAAUUUUGCAUUUAUUUAUUUAUUUUUGCUUUAUUUUUUAAUUGGUGGGUUCAACCACCAGUUUUUUUUCUUUUAAUUUUAGUUAUUUAUUAUUUUGCAUUUAUUUUUAUUUUUUGUUUUAUUGGUGGGUUCAACCACCAUUUUUUUCUUUUUCUUUCUUUCGCAUUUAUUUUAUACUUAAUUUUAUUGUUAAUUGGUGGGUUCAACCACCAAAAUUGUUAUUUAAUUUUCUUUUGUACACUUAUAUUAUUUGCAUAUUUAUUUUUUUUCAAUUUUUAAUUAGUCUUUUUAAUUUUGUUAUUAAUUUGUGUGAAUAUUAUCUUUGUGACAUAACCAUUGCAUGAGACGUUGGUCUCGAACUUCAAGUGGCAGGUUAAUUCGUAGAUCUCAAUCUCCUCCACCAAUCAUGGAUGAGAAUCAAGACGAAAACAUUUUGGGCGAACUUAAUCCUCAAAUUGAUCAGGGAGACAAUCAUUCUCAACAUGGGCAUGAUCAGAAUCAACCAAGAACUCUGAGAGACUACAUGAAUCCAACCAGAACCGGAGCACCGUCGUGUAUAGUAUUUCCUACAGAAGCAUCUUGAUUCAACUUUAAACCAUGUAUUAUCCAACUUUUACCAACAUUUCAUGGUUUAGAAUCCGAGAAUCCGUACUUGCAUCUAAGAGAUUUUGGGGAAAUUUGUAAUACAUACACAGACCAAAAUUGUAGCAUCUAAGAGAUUUUGAGGAAGUUUGGAUCUAAGGUUUUGUAGCCAAGUUUUAGCUUUAUCUUUUAAUGAAAAAGGAAAAAAUUUUAACCUAAUUAUGUUCAUGCUACAAUUUUGGUCUGUAUAUGUAUUACAAACUUUCUCAAAAUCUCUUAGAUGCAAGUACAGAUUCCCAGAUUCUAAACCAUGAAAUGUUGGUAAAAGUUGGAUAAUACCUGGUUUAAAAUUGAAUCGAGAUGCUUAUGGAGGAAAUACUAUACACGACGGUGCUUCGGUUCUGGUUGGAUUCAUGUAGUCUCUCAGAGUUCUUGGUUGAUUCUGAUCAUGCCCGUGUUGAGAAUGGUUGUCUCCCUGAUCAAUUUGAGGAUUAAGUUCGCCCAAAAUGUUUUCGUCUUGAUUCUCAUCCAUGAGUGGUGGAGGAGAUUGAGAUAUACAAAUUAACCUGCCACUUAAAGUUUGAGACCAACGUCUCAUGCAAUGGUUAUGUCACAAAGAUAAUAUUCACACAAAUUAAUAGCAAAAUUAAAAAGACUAAUUAAAAAUUGAAAAAAAAUAAAUAUGUAAAUAAUAUAAGUGUACAAAAGAAAAUUAAAUAACAAUUUUAGUGGUUGAACCCACCAAUUAACAAUAAAAUUAAGUAUAAAAUAAAUGCGAAAGAAAGAAAAAGAAAAAAAAUGGUGGUUGAACCCACCAAUAAAACAAAAAAAUAAAAAUAAAUGCAAAAUAACUAAAAUUAAAAGAAAAAAAUUGGUGGUUGAACCCACCAAUUAAAAAAAUAAAGCAAAAAUAAAUAAAUAAAUAAAUAAAUGUAAAAUUAAAUAAAUACAGAAAAUUAAAUAAUUGAAAUAAAAAAUAAAUAAAAGUUAAGAGUUAGUAGUUAGUAGUUAAUAAGUUAAGAGUUAGUAGUUAGAGUUAGUUUGUUCCAAAUUAAGUCUAAAUUGUGUCCAAAUAAGUCUAAGAUAAGUCCAAGUCUUGAUUACUAUGAGAAAUUUCGUAUAGAGAUCUUAUUGCAAAUUAUUUAUAAUUUUAUGGUCACACCGUAAUUUUUAGAAGUUUAGAAUUGAGCCAGUCUCAGUUGGGAUGAAAGUGAAACAGCUGAAAGCUGUUGGGGUCAGAACGUAAUUAUGAGAAGAUUGAGCUAGAAACGAGAAUUGUUGGGGUGAAACGAGAAUUGUUGGGGUGAAACGAGAAUUAUGAAAGAUAUAGGGACAAAAGAGCAUUUAAGAAAAAGAAAAUGGGGCAAACAAAAAUUUACACAGAAAAAAAUCAAAAGCGGAAAAAUAAAACAAAAUAAAUUUUUUUCCCGGCAACAGCGUCAAAAACUUGACACAACUUAAAAGUAAUUUUUAACUCCCAAGUAUAAGAGUGUCUUGUUGUAUUAUAACUCGCUGAGUCUGAGGUCGAUCCACAGAGAAAAUAUUUAAUUUGUUUAUUUUAUUUUAACUAAAAAUUAAAAUUUAAACUUGAAUAUAAACAACUUAAUUUAAAUGAAACUAUGAAAUUGAACUAGUUAGGGUUGUGGAUCCACUCUUAGUAGUAAAUAAAACUUAAUAAAUUCUUUUUGCCUUUUUUUUUUUGAUUUAUUGCCCAAAAGAUUAAUUAUUUUCCCCUUAAUUUUAUGAUGGAUUAAGUAUUUAUUGUGCCAAAAUUUAAUUUGUCUACAAUAAGUUAAAAUACCAUUUUACCAUACCUUAUAUUAAGAUAUUAAGAAUUUAUUGUGUCAAAAUCAUUUGUUUCUCUACAAUAAAUCAAAAUUUCAAAAUAUAAAAUAUGUAUAAAAUUAAAUAGAAAAUAAUUUAAUUUAUAAAAUUAAAAAUAGAAUUUGAUUAAAUCAUAUUUAUUUCCUAAGAGUUUCACCUUCCCCUAACUAAUAUUAUUUAGUUGAGCAUAAUUGAAAUAAAAAGAAAUAUUAAAAUUGAAUUACUUAUGAUUAAAAGUAAUAAAAGCAACUAAAAUUGAAAAUAAUUAUACAAAAUAUUAAAAACACACAUGAAAAUCAAGAUUACAGGGAGAUAGAGAGAAUUUGAGAAGAAGAGAGUUGUAGAGAGAUGAUUAAAAACAUAAAAUGAGGCUCUAUUUAUAGAAAAAAUAAAUUCAUAAUCCAAUGUGUUGCGGUCCAUCAUAAGCUUCAUGCAUAUGCUCCUCACAACCUUUAGAUCAAGAUCCAAUGGCUGGUCAAACUUUAAAAGUCAACAUCACACGUGGCAUCGUUUGACUCAUCCGAUUUGCCCAAAGAACGGUUGAGAUUUGGCGGGUUAAUGGGUGGAUCGGGUCGACCCAAAUACAAAGAUUUGGAUCCUACAACUUGCUUCACCAACCAUUGCCACGUGGCACAAUUAUGGCCAUUCAAUCAUGAACGGUUGAGAUUUAGUCAAAAUUGGCAGCUAUCCCAUGCACUCAUAUCUAUUGUAAGCUUAUUUAAUCAUCCAAUCAGUGCUCGGUCAACAGGAAAAGUCAACUCUUUUUAUACAAGUCCAAUUUUAAGCCGAUCUUGACCGAUCUUAAGGUUUUCGGACCUCUGGAAUCCAAAUUUGACCUCCGUUUAUUUGUUUGGAGCCUCGAAUUAUGUGAAAUUAAUAUUUUACCUAAUAAACACACAAAAAUACACAAAAUUAGAUAUAUUUAAAAUAUAAUUAAUAAUUCCUAAUAUAUUGCAUAAACACAAAUAUAAAUUAAAACAUAAGCACAAAAUAAUAUUAUUAUCGCUUGAUAAUUAGACAAUUUUUAAUACUAAUCACAUAUUUAUAAAGAUAUUUACAAAGAGAAGAAAUGAAGCAAACACUUGGCCAAAAACUGUUGUUCCCAGGAUUUAUAAAGAGUUGGAUAAAACUUACAAAAAAAAGAGAGAAAAUGACUAAUUCGGUUUGGUUUUAAUUUUUUUUUAAAAACCAAAAUAUAUUAUUUAUAAAAAAAACCGAAAUACUGAUUCGGUAUUCAGUUCACUCAACUGAACUGAAAAAUCGAACCGAAAAACUGAAUCACUGUUGUUAUUUUUAUUUAACUUUACAACAUUAUGCUUAUGUAAAUGGAGUAUUGGAGUUUGGUUAUGUAUUUGAAAUCUUAAUAUUUCAUAUUUUGUGAGUAGUGAAUACCUUAUUAGUAGUUAGUAAGAUAUUAGUGAUAAAAUGGGUUUUGAAUACUUUGUAUUUAUUAUUAAUAAUUGUAAUGAAAUUAGGAUGAAUUAAUUGUUGAAAAAAAUUAUGACAUUCAUGAGGCCCAAUGGGCUAAAAAUUUAGAAAUUCAAAAUAGGCCCAAUAGGCCCUGAACCGAAAAAACCGAACCGAUUUAAAAAGAUCCGUUUGAGUUCGGUUAUUAUUCGGUUCUUUUUAUAAAAUAACCGAUUUAAAUCGGUUCUGCUUAAUUUUAAUCCGAACCAAACUGAAUCGAACUGUGCCCACCCUAGUCAUGGAUAAAUCUUAUUAUCUGGCAAAGAGUUUAUUGUGAAAUUAAAGAAGAAGACAUGUGACUGUGGGUAUUGAGAAAUUGUAGGUUUACCUUGCUCUCAUGCCAUAGUUAGCAUAGGUUAUGCAAGACAUGAAAUUAAGGAGUAUUUUCCAUUUUGGUUCGCCAAGCAGACUUACAUUAAUAUCUACUAUGUCAUGUUUACUCCAAUUCCUAAUGAGCGUAUAUAGGAGCGUAGUGAAAGGUCAUUAAUUGAUCCCUAUAAGAGGCAAUAAAAGAUUAGGAGGCUAAAGAAAUAUAGGAAGAGAGCAACUACUAAACUUCAAAAACGCAGCAGAAGAUUCUUUGUCAAUUGCUCAGUUUGUAAUGGCUCGAACCACAAUGCAAGAUCUUGUCUAUUGAGCCCUUCUGUUGCACGGGCAAUUCGAGCAAGAAGUACUAGUUCUCAAGCAUGCGUUUACACCAUCAAUUUUAUUCCAUUUAUAUUUGAUGUUUAUGUUGUGUAUAUUGUUUUCAUUGUCAUUUAACAUAAUAGUCAUUACUUCAUAAGUGAUUUUUCUAGAUGUUAAGCUAACUAAGCAUGCUGAUAAUUGAUAGUAUUUAUGCAAAUAAGGAUUCCAAUUUCAAUAAGUAUGCAAAUGCUUAACUUUACUAGUUAUAUUUUCUGCAAUUCUCAACUGCAAAUGCUUCAGGCCAACUAGCAAAUCCUUCAGGCCAUCCAUCAAAGGGGAGUAUCAGAACUAAAAACACAAAGUAGAGAGUGCAAGCAAGUGCUCCAAGUGAGUGCUCCAAGUGAGGGAUCCAAUGCUGGAUCAAAGAAAAGGAAAAAAAAUAAAAGUACUAUUGUAUUUGCUGGAACUACUAGAAAAAUAGGUUGAGUUUCGUUGAAUUACUUUUUUAAUAGUUCACAGUUCAUAAUUAUAAAUAAGAGUUUAAUUUAUUUUGUCUUUUGUAAUCUAGGAAGGACUUUAGAUGUCAACCUAUCCUAAGUGAACCAAUCCUAGAAUCCAUCACAAACAUCGACUGUAACAAGUGCCUUGAAAUAGUUUGAUGCUUAGUUUGUUGGGAACAUGUCAUCAAUUUCAGUUUGCUAAACUCUUAUGUUGGUUAUGUUAUUUUGUUUUAUCAAUUUCAGUUUCCUAAACUUAAUUAUGGUCUUGCAUGAGCUAAACCAUGUUUUGGACUUUUACGAACUUGUAAUUUGAAGGAGAUAUGUUAUUUGUGUAUGUUAUUUGCAUAGUUUGGAUGUUAAUUGAUUACACUAUCACUGUUUUCAAUUGAUGAUUGUUAUUGUUGAGUAUAUAUUUUGUUGGGAGCAUUCUAAUCUUCAUUACAUGUUAUAUUACUUUCUCAUAAAGACAGUUACAAAUACACACACUAGCAUAAUUAAGGUACAUUUAAGCUUUCCUUCAAUGAGUUUUAGCCUCUUAUUUAUUUUCGCCACAUCGUCAUUUAGCUUCAGAUUUUGCUCAUAUGGCAUCUCAUCAUUAGCAUUAUAAGAGAUUUAGUACUGAAUCAUUCCAAAAAAUCACAAUAUUUCACCCCACAAUGCUUUCACUGCAUGACCAAAAUAGUGCAUUAGGAUUUCGCAAUUUAGUUGACACCAUAGCCAUUGCAUGUACGCCACACUUGCAGAUUUAGCCUCUUCUUUAUUUUUGCCACAUCGUCAUUUAGCUUCAGAUUUUGCUCAUAUGGCAUCUCAUAAUUAGCAUUAUAAGAGAUUUAGUAUUGAAUCAUUCCAAAAAAUCACGACACAAUGCUUUCACUGCAUGACCAAAAUAGUGCAUUAGGAUUUCGCAAUGUAGUUGACACCAUAGCCAUUGCCUGCCUGCCACACUUGCAAUAUUUUAGUUGCCAUUUCACUUUUAUUUAUAUUUUUUGAAUCUACUAAUACCAAAACUUGAUGCUUCAUUGAAGAUCAUUUUUCAAAUGAAUGUUUGUUGUAAUAGCAUAAUAGGAAUAUGAUUUGUUAUAUUUAAAGUGAUUGUUAGGCUUGUACUUUUUUUUUUUUUUGUAAAGGACUAGCAAAUUUUUGUUUGUUGUAAGGAAGUGUACUGUUGAUUUGUUGUUAAGGAGUAGCAAAGUUUUGAUUUCAUGUGCUGAGAUGUGUUGUUGAUUUGAUUGUUGAGGAGUAACUAAUUUUUGGUUUAUUGCAAUGAGGUGUGUGCUGCUAUUUUUAGGUCAUUAUAUAGCAAAAAAAUGUAACUGUUUUUAGGUCAUUAUAUAACAAAUUAAGGGUAUACGAAUAAUAAUUUCACAUUAAAUAAUAAUUAUAAACACCCUUCCGUUAAUUUACAAUAUAAUUCAUUGAGGGUAAAGAAAGAUUUUCAAUUAAGGAGAUACAAACUAUUUUAGAGUAGAAUUCUUAAAAAUAAUUAAGUAACAUUUGACUUUCCAUACAAAUUUAGAAUUUGAGGAUAGCUGAAUAAACAUUAAUAAUAUUAAAUAAUAUGUAAUAUAACACACACACACACACAUAUAUAUACAUAUAUAUAUAUAUAUAUAUAUAUAUAUAUAUAUAUAGAGAGAGAGAGAGAGAGAGAGAGAGAGAGAGAGAGAGAGAGGUGAAAAUACCAAAACAAAAACACAAAUUUCAAAUGCACUAAAAUAUGUUUUAACUAAAUACAAAAGUAUAGACAAAAUGGGUUAUUAUUUAAAAUAUAAGAAUAAAAUGGGUUAUUGUAAUAUCCAGACAUGUCUUUUAAUAGAGGGUAGGUUAUAUGUAGUUUUAAUUUAAGGAAUAUGUGCAUAUUGUUUAUGUGUUUGAAAUUGUUCUUAACUUCUCUUUUGUAAUUGUCUUUAACUUCUCUAUUUAAGGGACUUAAGCCACUAGUUGCAAAUUUUUAUUUUCAUCAGUCCUUUAAUGCAUACGUUUUUCCCAAAAAAUUUUAAGAAUUGUUUCCUGCACUCUUCAAUUUCGAUAAGUAAAUUCUUCUUUUUAAUUGUUGAUGUUAUGAGCAUGGGAUACGUAUAUACAUUUGAUCUUGGAAGUGUUUUGAAAAUAAAUUUUUUUUUAUAACAUUUCAAAUUUGAAUUUCGAUUGCUUUAGAAUAAUUCUUUUACUUUAUUAUAAAUUCUACAUGGGCCAUUGGGUGAAGUUAUGGCUACUGAAAUUGUUAGAGUUAGAGUUUAAUAAUUUGAGUGUUGUUGGAAACAUGUUGAACCUUGCAUUGUUUGAUAAUUAGAAUGCCAAAUUGUUGUAUGGCAGAUAAAAUUGUGAAUUUUGGGUAUAGUUAAAUACACAUAUGGAAAAUUCUCUCUGUGAAAUUUCAUAAUUUUUGGUGGCAUUUUGGGUUACUGAAUUAUUGAGAGAAACCACAUUAUUUGCUGAAGAAACGUCUUAACAGAGGUAUUAAAAAAUUCAUAACUCUAAAAAUAUGAGGAAUAAAAUUUUAAAAUUUUGGGUAUCGCACUAGAUAUAUGUAGCUUUGAUAUGGUAUAAAGUUUGUAAACUUUGAAGUUCGUUUUGGUUUUCAAAUAUUAUGUGAAGUUUGGCUCAAAUAUUGGCAGACUGAGAAUUGGAGAUUGAGUUCACUACAUUCCAAGAAUUAGAUCUUUUAAUCUAUUAAGUAAUAAAUUCUGCAACUUGAGGAUUAAUUAGUUUACAUGUGAGAUAAUGUUCUAGAAAAUAUUAGAAUUGUUUAAGAUCCUUAAGCAUGUGAAUUAUAUUUUGGUUGCUGACUAUUGUGCAGAAUUCGAUAGUUCGUUUGUCAUAAGGAUUUUUAGUUAAGGUUAUGAUUUAUGCUAUAUGGAUUUAAUAAUAAAUCAUCAUAUUUUUCAAUUUUAGGAUGUGUUGAUGAUGUUUGGGAUUAGUUAGUGAAAGGUUAAGAUUUGCUCUAGAUUCAAGUAAGUAGAUCCAUCCGUAAUGAACUCUUUUGUUUUCUAAAUGUUUUUCAAAUUAUGUUUUCUUUAAUUAAGUUUUUUUAUUACGUUUGUGUAACUAAAUACAUGUUUAAAUAGUCUUUGCUCAAGUUUAAACAACUUUGAAUUAAAAUCUUGCAAUUUAUGAUUGUGAGUUUUACAGGGGUAUCCUUUUAAAAGCCAAUAUGUUACGAAGUGCCACGUAUGAGUCACUAAAUGAGAUUCAAGUUUGUGUUUUAUGAAUAUAAUUUAAAUGUUUUGGUUCAAUGUCGAUAGUUAUUUUAUGAUACGAUAUGUUCUAUUUUGGUGGGGUCAUCAGGAGAAAUUGGUGACUUUCACUAGUGAAAUUUGUUAUGUUGCACAAAUUAUAUGAUUUGAUUUAUACCUGGUCACCGUGGGUGCAGGUGAUACUAUUUGACAUGAGCCUCUUAUAUGAUAAGUCAUGAUAUGAUAUAUGUUUUUGGAUGUGUUUUGAUAUGAUAAAUGUUUUCUGAAUUUGAAUUUAGCUCAAGUUGUUCAAUUUGAAUUUAUUUUAAGCAAAACAAUGCCCAAUAAGCUUCUAUACAAAGAUUCAUGUGUUUAUUCUGAACUUAAGGUUAAAUUGAAUAUUUGAAAAUAUUGAAUAAAAAUAUCGUUUUGUUUGUUAUGCAUGUUUUUACUUACUGAGUAUGACAGAUCACACUUUGUCAAUUUUAUUUUCCCAAGGAAAGCAAGUAAAAGCUAAACCCUAAAUUGAAGUCCGAUGUGAAAACUCUACUUUUGUUUCUUGUGUAUUGUUUGAAAACUUUUGUAACUAAUUAUUUGUAUAACUAAUGUGUAUCAAUGGAGAUGAACUCUUGUGUUGGUUUAUUAGUUAAAAUUUAUGUAUCAGAGGAAAUAAAUUCUUAUGUUAGUUUAUUUGUUAUAUGUCUAGGAAAUUCCUUAAGGUUAGUUUUACUUCUGCUGCGAAAUUGAUUUUGUCGUUAUGACACUAGGCUUAAUUAAAUUUUCAGGAAGACAAUAAUAUUAGGUAAUAUAAAAUUAGACGACGAGCUGCUCAAUAUUAGUAUGGGAUGUUGCAGUUAUUGCAUCAAAUUCUCAGGGUAAAAAGCACUAUUUCUUCCAUUAAUAAAUAAUGAUUAAUGAGAAAUUAGGGUUAUUUUGGCAUUAAAUGAUUAUGGAAAAUACAUAUUUGGCAUUAGAGAAGUAUAUUAAAAAAAAGUGCUUUAAGAAGAUUUUAGAAGGGUGUUCACAGCACCACUGUAAUGGAUAAUAUUUUAUUCUCUCUUUUCUAGGGAUGGCAAUGGAGCAGAUAUGGAUUGGAUCUACUCUGCUCCAGAUCCAAAUCCAUAAUAAAAAUUAAGAUCCGUAGCUGCUCCAGAUCCGUCAUGGAUCUAUAUUUUUCGCUCCAUAUCUAGAUCCGAAAUAAAAAAUAAAGAUAUAUAUCUGCUCCAAAUCCAAAAAGAAAAAUUAAAAUCCAAAUCUGCUCUAGAUUCGUCACGAAUUGUAAAUCUCAAUAAUAAGAGAUCAAUAAUUUUUUAGAAAGAAAAUUUAAAACUAAAAUGCAUUGGUAACAAUUAAAUUCUAUAAUUUGUAUAAAAAAUCUGAUAAGUAUUGUAGCUUCUACUUUUACACCAAAAUAAACAAAUAAAAAAGAUAAUAAAAUAUCCAUAAAAAAAAUUGCAUGAAUAAGAUCAUUAUAAUAUUCUAAUGUCUCUUUUACCAUCCUGAUAUCUACGGCACACCAUCAUUAUUCCUAUAUAAUUAAAUAAUAACAUAUAAGUUAAAAAUGAUAUAUUAUAUUCAGUGAUUUAUUAUUUUUAUUAUGAUCAUAUUUAACUAAAUAUAUGAUUAACAUAAUUAUUUUAUAGUUGAUAGCCACAACUAAUUAGUGAUUAUACAAAAUAAAUAAGAUUAUGAGAAAAUGAUAGGAAAAAAAACUCAAGUGUAUAGAUUUUCCUAGCAAUUAAAGGACUGAUCCAAGCAUUCAAAUGAAGUGGAGAAGCGAAAGUAAACUAAAGAGAAAAAAAAAAAAAAAAAGAGACUAAAUUAUAGAGUGAAAAACUUAAAAAAAUUAGGACAGACUAUCCUAAUUUUAUUUUACACAUGAUAAAUUUUUGUUUUAUUAUCAUUUAAAUACCUUUAAAUUUUAAGAUUCUUAAAUACAUGCUAAUGAUUAAAUUUUAUCAACAUUUAUAAAUUUUAUUAUCAUUUAUAAUUACAUAAUCGUUAAAAAAAUUUUAAAAUAAAAUUACAUUAAAUGGUGAGUGGAUAUGGAUAUGAAUCUAGAUAUUAAGAUAAAUCCGAACUUGCUCCAUAUCCGCCUUAGAUCCACGCAUCGAUAUCCAAAUCCGAUUCAAAUCCAUUUUAAUCCGACCUAAAUCCGAUCCGAUUGAACUUGGAUUACGUGGAUCUUGGGUCAAAUCCGAUCCAUUGCCAUCCCUAAUCUUUUCCUUUUUCAAUCAUAAGGAAAUGGGCACCGAAACCUAAAUUUUCCUUUUUCAAUCUUUUAUCCAUUUUGCAAACAAAUUUAUUGGACAAUUUAGGCAUAUUUGACACGAGGGGUGGGCAAAUAACCCAACCCAAUAUAAACCGAAAAAUUUGGGUUUGGACUAAACAUGGAUGAAGACUCAAAUUCAAUUAAGUUAGAUUUUUGUCAACUCAAUAUGAGAUGGUGAUUGGAUUGGGUUUGACCUGAUCCAAUCUGAAAAAUCCAAAUAAAUCAAAAGCAAACACAAACAUAAAUUUUCAAACCAGUCUGAACUAUGGUUAGAUCGGAUUUCAAGAUUGAAUUGAGUUCAAAUUAUUUCUUUUUCAACCCGAUUAACUCGAAAUCUGAUUGGUUGAUCUGAACUCGAAUUUGCCCACCCCUAAUUGAAAGCUUUUAUUUUAUUAUAUUGUAUUACAUUAAAAUAUUAUUCUUAUAAUAUUCUUGUACUUAUGAACGAAAAAAAAGUAUAAAAUACAAUUUCUAGUUGUGUUGCACCGCAUUAAAAAAGUGGUUAAUACAAUAAAAGAAGCAUAAAAUAAUCUUAUGUAAGGGUAGAGUUUAAAUUGUAUUGCAUAAAAAUACAAUUCACAUUUUUUUAAUCACUUUGCUUCUAUUAUUUAAUAACUUAUAAGUUUAAAUUUAUUAAAUAUUAAUUUAUAUGUAAAUGAAAAUUAAUUUUAAUAAUAUUAUAAAAUAUUAAUAAACUUAAAUAUUUAAUAAAUCAAUAAUGUAUUUUAUUUACUUUAAAUAAGUAAAAAGUAUGUUAAUUAUUUUAUUAUUUAUUAAAAAAUGGACCACAAUGCAAUACAACUAAUAUAAUACAAUACAAUACAGUAUACUAAACACAUCCAAAGAAUCAUGUAUUAAUAGUUAAUUAGGAGCAACUUGUCACCAUAUAAUAAUUUCAAGUCUAUUUGAAAUCUCAAUUAGUAGACUAUUGAUGUAUAACACAAAAAUAUCUCGAGUAUAAUUAAGAAAAUGUGAAUAUCUAUUCUCACAUGCACUUAUAAAAAAGGGAAAUUAUCAUUGCACCACCUUUCUUUUACCUUAUAUUCAUCUAAUCACCAUAAAAUUCUAACAUGUUCUCUACACCACAUUUCUUUUUAAAUUUGUAUCAAUUAGCUAUUUUUGCACUAACACCGUUAAAUAAUUUAAAUGAAAUGAUAAUUUUAUCCCUAAAUAAAUUAAAAGACUAUUUUAUCUUAUAAAAGUUUGAAAAAUAAAAAAAUUAUAAUUAUAAAAAUACCCCUAAAUUUAAAAAAAAAAUCCAAAAUAGAGGUGCUCAGUUGAUUUUUAUUAAAUUCAGAUUUUGUAACAUUUUAAUAAUUAUUUUCAUUAAAAAUUUAUAAUUUUAAAAAUUAUACUAAAAAAUAACUGAAUUUAUUUAUUAAAAAAUAAAUCCCAAAAUUUUAAUAAUUUAGGAGAUUUUUAUUAAAUCCCAAAAUUUUAUAAUUAUUUUUAUAAUAUAAUUUUUUAUUAAAAUAAUUUUUAUUAAAAAUAAAAUUCUAAUUUUUGGAUUUAUUUCUUUAUUAUAUGUAGAGGUAUUUUUAUAAUUAUAGUUAUUUUAUUUUCAAAAUUUUUACAAGAUCAAAUGAUCUUUUAAUUUAUUUAGGGGUAAAAUUAUCAUUUCAUUUAAAUUAUUUAACGGUGUUAGUGUAAAAGUGGCUAAUUGAUACAAAUUUUUAAAAAAAUAGUGCAGAGAAUAUGUUAAAAUUUUAUAAUGAUUGAAUGAAUUUAAGAUAAAAGAAAGGUGAUGUAAUGAUAAUUUUCUUAUUAAAAAAAAAAAAAAAAAACCUUGUUCAAAUACUCUACAGGCUCGAACUAUGGAGACUCGAAGUUAUGAUCCACUUCAAACGGACCACUGAUUCAAGUCACAAGCAAAUGGGAACACAGGGUUACUGUCGGUAAGAUUGUCUCAGCAUGUUUACAAAAAUCAGCCCACAAAUAUUAAAUUAAUUCAUUAAAUUGAAACUUACGAACGAAAAAAAGAAUUUAUUUUCUUUUUUAAAAAAGGAAAAAAGAAAGAAAGAAAAAUCAAGUCAAGAAAGCUCUGCCGCCCAACCAGAUUGAGAACCUUCUAAAUUUUUUCAUGUCCAAGUGCCAUGAAUUUCUUUAUGUCCCCCGUGUAAUCAAUCCUGUCCUUUCACCCAUUUGCAAAGCGCGUGAGUUGUACGCUCUAUUUACAAACAAGGGCAUAUUUAGUAUUUAACUCCCAAGUCUCAUUAAUUAAUUAAUUCCAUGACCGAUAUUUUAUUUGACCUGUUGAUGGUGACUUUGAACCAUUAACAUCAUUUUUUUUUUUAAUUGCGUAAGGUUGUCUUUACUCAAUUAUAUAUUAUAAUUAAAGAAAAAAUUAUCCCCACAAUAUAUUUGUAGAAAUUCAAACUGCUAUCCUCAUAUUUAAAGUACAACAACCUUAACUACCUGGAUAAAGGGCGAGUGGCAACCAUUGACAUCAUCUUAGUUUUUACACUUUUAUUUUUUUUUUUAAUUUUACCAAUUUUUUUACUCAUUAUCUUUUUAAUUCAAAUUCAGAUUGUCGCCAAAAUAAAAUUUAUUGACUAUAUCAUAGGAGAGGUCUAUUUUUAGGUAUUGGUUUACAUUGUUUAUUGAAAUAAAAUAUAGUAAUAUAUUUGCUUUCACUAACCCCACAAAACUAAUAAUAAUUAUAAUAACCUAAUCUUGAAAAGAUUGAGAAAAGCUUCUAGCACAAGUGAUCAUAAGAUACACUCAAUUAUAGAUUCACCAAAAUCUAUCCACAUUUUUUUUUUUUGGUUUUAUUAGUUAUCAUUAAGAAUUUAUAAAUAUUUGCGAAGAUGCCAAUAUUUGAUUCCACAGAAAAAAAUGAAAAUUUCCAACUUUAAAUUUUUUAACAGUGGUCUUGAUGAGUUAACAGUUAUGACAUUAUUUUUUUAACCUUAAAUUCAAUGAUACUCCUCUCUAUCUUCUAAUAUGUAAGUCAUUAUUUUUCAAAUUUAAAGAAUUGUUGGUGAGAAGUAGGCUCAUUAUGUCUUCUUAUCAGACGUUGUUAUUAUUAUUUUUUCAUUCGGUAAUAUUUUUUUUCUAAUCGAGAUUUAUUAAAAACAAAAAAUCACCCACGAGAUACAUUUAGAAAUAUUUUUUUUUAUGUUGUGAAUCAGUCAAAGAUGUCAUUAUAUAAAAUUAAAUACAAUCAACCGUUUUCCUUUUCACAGUGUUGAAUGCAGCUAGUGUAAUUACUCUUAAUUUGUGUUGACCCAUUAAAUUUUUGCCCACUUUUAACGGGUCCAAGAAAGGAAUUUAAUUUAUAGUUUAUUUAUUUAUUUUAUUGGAGCGUGUCGCACAAUUGCUUAGUUAGUAAGCAGGCAUUGAAAUUAGAAAAUAAUAAUUUAGGCACGAAAACAACGCAUGGACACAAAAAUGUCAAAAAGCCAUUUGUCUCGCCUUUGGAAAACUCCAAAGCAAUUUGAUCAUUACAGAAGAAGAAAGAAUUGGAUAGAAGAAUUUGCACGUUAGAUUGAAACAGCAAAAAGAAGCAUGAAUAAUGUGAAAAAGUACUAGCCUACCUAAAGGAAUUAAACUCAUAUUAGUUUAAUUAGAUAGGUUACAACAAGAUAAAUCCCCAUUAAUUAAUUAAUCACAUCAUCAAUGCUCGGUAAUCAAUCUAAACUAGCUUCUUCUGGACAAUCAAAGUUGUUUUGUUCUACAUUUUUCUUGAUUUAAGUUUGAAUAUAAUUAACAGAAGAAUCAUGACCUAAUAGUUUAGUGGUAAAUUAUUUCUUUUUUCAAAUAAAAAAUGAUUUAAUUCUCAUUGCGAGAAACAUGUCGGGGUAAAAUUUUUUUUAUUCACUCAAAGAAUAAUGUUUGGGAUCACGAUAUCCAUCUGGGUCUUAAUUUUUAAUUAAAAUAAUAUUUAAUAAGAGUGUGUAUGCAUAAUAUCAAUAUCAAAAAAAGGAAAAAAAUACAUAUGAUUAUUAAUCAUUAAAUAUAGGCUGUUUUUGUUUUUUGUUUUUUUAAUUCAAGCAAUUGUUGUCAAAUUUAUGUCCGCAUGGGUUAGAUCAUAAGAGAAUUUAUGUUUUUCACUAAUUGUGUCAUCUUUAUUCCUUAAUUGGAAUUGAUUAGUGAUUGGCUGCACUUUUUUGUAAGAGAUAAAAACAAAUAUUUCAAUAACAUUAAUUAACCAGUGGGAAAAUCAUCGUGUGUGAUAAGAUCAUUUGAAACUCAUAAGAAGCCAUACGUACUAAAUUGACAGAAAAUUACAUCUAUUGGCUAUUGCAAUCAUUUACGGGUCAAAACCAACUAUCUACAGAGCAAGCCAUUCAAAGAAGUGAAGGAAAAACUAUUAAUAUCAUUUGAUCACAAGAUGGACAAUUUUUGUUCCCUAUCUAUACGUGGGCCAACGCGCUUGGUACAAAAAAUUCAACAUAUAAUAUCUGCAAACUUCACAAAGUAUAUAUAUAUAUAUAUAUAUAUAUAUAUACAGAAACACACACGAGUUAUUAUCUAAUAAGAGAUUCUCAUUUAAUAUUAUAAAGAAUAAAUCUAAAGGUAGAAGAAUAUACGUUUCAAUAUACUAUAAAAAAAUACACUGCAUUACCAACAAAGUGUUGGCUCCACUGGCAAUGGAGUCCCCUUAAGUGGCUUGAUUGGGUUUGCUCCCUAGUUCGAGUCGCAGGGAAGUCGCCUUUGUUGGGAGAACCUGUGCCUCCCGGUUCGAGCGGGGACUUCUAGUCUGGAUUGUGGUACGGGCUUAAAGGUGCCUCCCACAGUUAGGGCCCUCCCCAGGAUACCUCGUGGAUAAGACAAAAAAAAUAAUAAUAAAAAAUAAAAAAUACACUGCAUUGGAGUAUAUAUUUUUUUUCUAUUUUUAGCUUAUGCUUUGUUUUAUUUAAAAUAAUGGAUCCCUUAUUAUUCAGUAUGGUAACAAUUAUAAGAUUAAAUAUUCUUUCAGUUUAUAAAGUUUGAACUAAUUACACAAUUUUGAAAAAUUACUUAAAAGGUCCACUUUAUACAUCUGUUUCUUUUCACAUGUUACAUAUUGCAUAGCAUUUGUUGAAUUUUAAGUUUUAUUAGACUAAAAAUAUUAUUUUAGCAUUGAAAAGUAAGAGCCAGUGUAUAAAAAAAUAACUACAAUAAUUUUUUUAAGAAAAUUUAUAAAAACUAUGAGGACUAACUAAAUAAUUGAUUGAAACUAUAAGGAUUAAAAACGUAUUUAUCGUAGUAAUUAUAAUGAAUAUGCAUGCUUGUGCUGCUAUAUAUAUAUAUAUAGACAGACAGACAGACAGACGUAUAUAUAUUAAAGAAGAUGUAAGCUUAAAAGAUACGUUUCAAAAAGAGAAAAAAAGAUAAACGAAGUAAACGAAGUCUUUAGCAAUUAAAUAGCAUUGCAAUUGAAUUCUCAUGAAUUGCCCUCGUGGAGUCGUAUUGGGUUUCUAUUGUUGGGGCUGGGAGUUCUUAACUGCAAUUCUUAUCUUCUCCAAUAUCCUUCUUCAUCUUUAGAUUAAUCUUCUUCUCUUUUAGCUAAUUUCCCUCUUCAAUAUUUCCCUUCUUUUUUUUUUUUUUUUUUGGUCUUUUUAAUUGUUUGCGAUAUUUGAAAUAUGGAGGCUACAAAUAAUAUUACAAUAAGCAGCUGCUGUGAUGACAAUAAGGGCCUACUGGAAUAUGCCAGAAAAUCAACACCCCCACCAUUUCUGUUGAAGACUUACAUGCUAAUAGAGGAUCUGGCCACCGAUAACGUCAUCUCGUGGAACGGCGACGGCACCGGCUUCGUUGUCUGGCAGCCGGCCGAGUUUGCCCGGGAUCUACUGCCGACACUCUUCAAGCACAGCAACUUCUCUAGCUUUGUUCGCCAGCUCAAUACUUACGUACGUUUACAAAAUAUCAUUUUCUCAAUUCCAUUUUCUUCUUUUAUUUAUUUAUUUUAAAUUUUUGCCAGUAGAUAUAAAAGAUGUAUGGGUCCUAUCUUAACCUAACUUUAGUUCCUUCACUCCCAUUUUUUUUUUUUUUGGUGGGUUUGUAAUAGUUGAUUAUAUAAUAAGUGUUGGUCAUAAAUACAUGUUAACUUAAUUGAUCAAAAGAUUCUUGUUUGUCCUUCAAAAAAUACCACUCAAAGGUUAAAAGCAAGCAGCUAUACAUACGCAGGCUUUUGUCAGAUUACUUAGCAUACAUGUAGGAUCCUUUAUUUAUUCAAUUUUUUUUUUUUUUUUUACCGUAAACAAAAUUUAGAUCAGUUUUUUUAGUCACUACCUCCUCUACGAAUUCGGAUGAGCAGCAAAAUGAUAACUAUUUAAAAACCAGUCGAUGAGGCGCAGGCUGAAGAGAAAUUUGAUUGGCUAAUGCCUAGCUAGAUUGUAAAUUGUUAAAUGAAUAAUAUUCGAUUUACAACAUUCAUAUUGAGAUUUAUUUGUUAUUAAAUAGAUGGAUGUAAUAUGAAUGCAGGGAUUUCGAAAAGUAGCAACAAGCAGGUGGGAAUUUUGCAACCAAAUGUUUAGAAAGGGGGAGAAAGAUCUUUUAUGCAAGAUACGUCGAAGAAAAGCAUGGGCAAACAGGCAGCAAGCAUCAACGGCAGCAGCAACACAACAAGAAUCUCAUGAUGAAGAUCAAAGGUCGUCGUCGUCGACGUCAUCGUUGUCGGAGUACAACACCCUAAGGGAUGAGAAUAAACGUUUGAAGAAGGAGAAUGGGAACUUAAGUUCGGAGCUUGUAAGCAUGAAAAGGAAGUGCAAGGAGUUGCUUGAUUUAGUGGCUAAGUACGCAAAUAUGGAUAAUGAUGAUGAUGAUGAAGAUGAUGAUGGUCAUGAGAUUAAUAAUAACCAAAGGGGCCCAUUAAUAGUGAAGUUGUUUGGAGUUAGAUUUGAAGUUGAUGAGGGAGAGAGGGAAAGGAAGAGAAAGAGAGAGAGCGCUGAGAUUAUCAGUCAAAGUGCUAACAUUUUACUAUCUCAAUCAUGCAAAUAAUGAUACUCUAUAAUUAGGGUAACACUAUUGAUAGGCUUGAUAGUACUUGAUUGAAGUAAUUAAGUAGCUUAUCAAUACAUAAUGUAUGUAUAUCUUUUUUAAAAGAUAGUUCAGUUAGUUUGACCUUUUACAAUGAAUUACAAGAAGUUAAGCAUUCAAAAAUAAAAAAAAGUCCGUUUAACUUAAGUUGAAUGAAUAAGGAAGCAGCCUAGUAGAGAUAGAAAUAUUGUAGUUAUUGAUGUACUCUUUAAAAUCUAUUAUUAAGGUUGAUAAUUAAAGUUGGGCAGAAGCCCUUUUAAUUACAUGCUUUAAGUUUAUUUGUUUUUGCUUUUAUGUUGCCGUCCAGGUAUCUAGUUAAUUUAUAAACCCAAGUUUCUACGUAAAACAAAGACAAAGGGUGCAUAUUAUUAGUAUAUGCAUGUGUUCUCCCAUCACAUUGGCAUUCAGGAAUAGGGGUGUUCAGAAUCCAAUCCGAUAUGCUCAAUCCGUCUGAUCCGCAGAAAUCAAAUUCGUAAAAAUUCGAUCCGUGGAAUGGUGGUUUGGAUUGGAUUAAAAAGUGGAUUGGAUAUGGAUUUACUUCUCUGAAUCCGUAAAAAAUCUGUGAAUCCGUAAAAAAAUAAAAAAUAUAUUUUUUAAUAAAAAAUAAAACUUGUAAAUAUGACAUUAUACUUAUUACUAAAUAAAUAAGUUAAAAUAUAGUUAUAUUAACACCAUAUUAUGUCUUAUCCGAUAAUAAUAUAAAAUAAAUAAAUAAAUAAAGCUUCCUUAGCAUUUAAUUUUUAUGUACUAAUCUAAACAAAUGAGAUUUUUUUUUUGGUGUGUUAUAUUUUGAAACUUUGAAUGUAUUUUCUAACUUUAUUUAAAUAAUUAAUUAAUUUAAAUCUUAUUUAAUUUUGAAUUUAAUCGGUAGUAAAAUCAUUUUUAUAUUUUUUUUAUUUAGUUAGUUCGUGGAUAGGACAUGAGUAAAAAAUUUUAGCUUGCAAACCAAUCCGCAAAAUGGUGGAUUGAAUAUGGAUUGGGUCAAAUCCGCUUCCGAUCCGCAAACAUAUGAAUUAGAUUUGGAUUGGAUUUCACCAAUCCGUGGAUUGGAUUAGAUUAAAAAUUUAUAAUCCGUAAAAUUAUGGAUCGGAUAUAGAUUGAUAUCUAAUCCGGAAAAUCCGAUUUACGAACAUCCCUAGGAGAGCCAUACGCAUUAGCAAUACAAUUUCAUUAAUGCAUAAUCUAAUGAGUUUGUUUUGUCUCUGUCUCUGUAAAAUCACAAGUAGCCAGCUGGCUUGUUGAUUUUCAUUUUUUAAUUUGAAGUAUUACACCUAAUCUAACGAUAAUGUGAAUAAAAAUAUGUUCAGACUAGCUAGUUUUGAUCUGUGUAAAUACUAUGAAUGCUGACAAAAAAAAAAAAGAAUGGUACAUUUAACUAAAGAUCUUCUACUCAUUUCGAAUCGUUUGACGGCUUAAUUUAUUAUAAAAGAUCUUUGCUAUAUGUACAUAACUGAUGACUAAGAUCUUUCUUUGCUAUAUAUGCAUAAUGAAUGCCGUGAUCAUUGCCAAACUUGCAUCGCAUAAAGUCAAUUCCUAUGAAAGCUGCAUGUUAGAAUAGGAUUGAGAAGAAUUUUCAUACGAUUCCUAUCAUUUUGAAGGAAAAAAAGGGUUUGGAGGGUCCUUAAAGUGGGGUUUUAGCCUAUUAAAAACUCAAAUGGAUUUUAAUUUCUGUUAUAAGUGCAGGUCAUAAUAGGCUUAUGAUCAUUGCCAUAUGUCCGUCGCAUAAGAUCAAUCUCCAUCAAAGCUGCAAGUCAUAACAGGUUAAAUUGAGAAGGAUUUUCAUAUCAUUCCUAUCAUUCUGUUGAUGAAGAGGAAAAAAGUUUUGGAGGGUCCUUAGAGUGGAUUUUAGCCUAUUAUAUAAAAACCUAAAUAGAGUUUGAUUUAUGUUAUAAGUGCAUGGAUGUCAUAAUAAAAUUGAUUGAAAAAGAUUUUCAUACGAUAUUAUCCCCUCAAAAAUUAAACUGAGCAUUGAAUAGGUUGGAUAUAGGCGCCAAAAAAAAAAAAAAAAAGAAGAAGAAGAUAUUUUAUCACAACAGUUGAAAAGAAAAAUUAAAAAUUCAUAAACUACGUUCUCAGCUAGGAUUAAUUGGCCAUGCUCAUAUACUCAAGUCAAGAACUACAUAUUUUUUUCAAUCAACGUGGGUAAAUAUGUUGGACAAAUGUAACCCUGAUGUCGGCUGAAGAGGAAAAAUAAUAAUUGUAAUAAUCUUGAAUUAACGUCAAAAGUCGUAGAUAUACAUGGACUAUGAGAAUCCGUAGAAUCAGAAUGGUAUUUUAGAUUGUAGAACAUUGAUUUAACAUGUCCCUUCUAAUACAUUUAAAAACGUGGAAGGGUGAGAACUCCCUGUAUGAUGUGGAUAUAAUGGAUGUUUGAAAUUGUAGGCACAACUAUAAAUCAAAAUCUUGUUUUUCACACGACGAUAACUACAGUCAAAGUUGUUGGCAAGUCGAGGUUGGAGCAGUUGGUUUCUUGCUCAAUUUUUUCAAUAGUGAGUGACUGUAAUUGAAUAUCCAACAAUGCAUUCCCAUUUUCAUUUUCUAAACGCUGUAAUGUGACUUAAAAAUUGAAUUGAUUUAAUCUCAUAAUUAUAUAGUAAAAAAUUUAAAAUAUAUUUAUUGUUUUUGUAAAAAUUAUUACUUAAAAGUCAUAUUCAUUAUAUAUCAUUAAUUUUUAUUUUAUAAUUACAGUUUUUUUUCCCACAUCAACUAUGACUUAAAAACUACGGCAUCUUAAUAUCAAACAUGACCUUCUAAACUUGAGACAAAUCGUGCGACAAUCAGAUAAAUAUAAGUUUCUCCUAAAAGAAAGAAAAAGAAGUGAUAAACUUUUAAAAUUUGAAAGUAAAAGUCAACAGAAAAUCUCAUAAACUAUACAUAAAGUUUGACUAUGAUAAGUGAGAUAGUUGAUUACGUUCUUUGCAUUUUUGUCAAAUUUCAUCAUUGAAAUACUCAUAUUCUCAUAAACUUCUACCUUGCGAGUAUUUACAACAAUGUAUGAUUAAAAUUUUAACUACCUAUAUAUUUUUAUCUUUUAACAGUAUGUUUGACACAUUGUAUUUUGUUGCAUUGCAUUAUAUUGUAUUAAAUUGGAAUGUAAUACUCAACUUGCUGUAAUAUGGACUAUAUUAAAUAAUAUAAUAUUCUUUAUUUUAAUAUUUUUGGUAAAUUAAUCAUUUAAGACUCAUUGUCAUUUAUUUUUUAUUUAUAUUCAAUAAUUAAAUACAUAUAAUUAAAAUAAAUAUUUUUUACCGUUAACACCACAAGCUACCGCCGGACGCCAUAUUUUAAUGUCAUUUGAACAAUAUAUUGGUACCAAUAGAAUCCUUAUAAUGGAGCAACUAUUACCUAUAAAGAAAUUUUCAUCGCCAUAGAUUAAUGGUCAAAGCUUCGGUUUUCAAAAUUUUUACCAUAACCAUACAUUAAAUAGAUUUUUUUUUGUUUUUGGUUGAUAAUAAUUGUACUAUUGCAUAGCCCCACAAUAAGGAUUCUAAUGGUAUCAAAUUCUAGUGUAAAAUACAAUGUUAUGCAAUAGCCACUAGUAGCCGGCCAACACUAAACUGUCAACGAUAGUUCAUCAACACUGGCAACAACAUAUUUAAGUUUUCAAUUUUAUUUAAUAUUAUAUAUUUUUAUUAUUUUACUUAAAGAAGUUUUAAAAAAAAAAAGAACUAGUGUAAAAAGCGAAGCAUUACUUGUUUAAUGCGGCAUUAUUCAUAUUAUAGUGUAUUAAUAAAAUAUAAAGUAAACAAGAAGAUUUACCAAACAGGAGAUUGCAUUGCAUUAGAUAAUACAAUCCCAUGUAAUAUGGUGUGUCAAACGCACCUAAACUAUGCAAAGAUCGAAACCAAAUAAAUUAUAUCAUGUUUGGAAGUUUGAUGUUGGAUUGACAGGUCCAUUUAAAAAUCGCCAUCCUAAAUUGGCCAAUAUUAAGAUUUAAGAAUUAGUGUUGUUUAAGCAUGCCAAUGAUUGUUGUUGGCUCAGUUUUUAUACCACGUGGCAACAUCAAAGACAUGUUACCAAGAGCGAUUUCACAUUCACAUAAUCCGUUGAAUCCAACCAAAGUUGGUUGGUGUGAGUAGUUCAGCACUCUCACUCCUUAAGAGAGGUUAGGAGUUCAAGCCCAGCUCUCGUAUGGAGUCACCACUUUGGCCAGCACUUUACCACUUACGGGCCGACCUGUUGUGAGCAGGGAUUAGUCUGAAUUGUUGUAUAAGCUUAAAGGUGCUUCUCAUAGUUGGGGCCCACUCAAAACCAUCUCGUGGUUCAGACCAAAAAACAAAAUCCAUUGAAUCCACAUGAACCUUACUCGUGCUCCGCUCAUCUUAUUUCAUUUUAUUUUAUUUUUUUCGAAGUUCAAAGUUUAAUGAAUAAAUAAAUAAAAUGAAUUGCAAAAUUGUAACUUCUUUUAUCAAGAUUUUGAUAGUUUACAACUUUUUUCUUUUUCAAAUUAUCUGUUUGGUUUCGGAGAAAAUAGCGGCAAACUUAGUGGGAAGUUUUGUUUCCAAAAUCUGGGAAAUGGGCUGGGUUUAUUUCGCUUCUUGAAUCGUUGCCCACCGAAAGUUUUAAUUUAGAAUGUGAAUCACAUUGUAUGUAAUAUUUUAGAAGUGUGCUUCUGCUGCAUACAGUAUAUACUAUGCUUGCUAUAGUUGGUUUAAACCUGCAUUCAUCAGCUCUCGGAUUAUCUCAUAAGCCAAACUGGAGAUCUUUCAACAUCUUCCCCUCGAACAGCCUUAAUAAGCAAAAGGGGUUGCUGUCUGUCAACAACCUAGUUUCAACUUUUUGAACUGGGACAAGAAACUUGUUACAAUCUGUACACUUUUGUUUUGCCUCAGCUUUAAUGAAUGAAGCAAGCUAACGAGCUAUAUCAAUGGCUCAUCACUUUAUCAAUCAAAAUACAAGAUACAACAUCUGGUCUGAAUGAUACAAGUACUUAAAAAAUUGAAUAUUUAUACAUUGCCUGCUUAUUUUUUGAUAUUUACAAAUCGUUUUGAAGACUAUUUUGUUUUCUGUGGACACAUAUAUCAUCAUCACCUGAUCCCUCACAAAUAAACGAGGAUCAGGAAAAUUUGAGGUAUGGAAAAAAAAAAGCGGACAAAUUUUCAUGAGUUAGCUGCAAAAUGAUUAAAUAUGGUUUCCAACGUUGAUUGGCUGAUGCUGUAUUCUGCAAUUCCCAGUCGAUUUCUGACAGAUUUUUCAAGAUAUCCAUCAGCCUGAUAAAUCAAAUUAAAAAAAAAAAAUUUGUAUAAUCAAAGCCGUCCUAGUUGUCUUCUCACCUGUUCUGUUCUAAGAACCCAAAGACGUCGGCAACUGAGAGACCUUCCGAGAAUGGUAGCUGCAGUAAAAAGGUCUUUAGCAUUAACCAAUUACAAUUUGGACUAUAAAAAGCAACUUUCUUGCACGAGACAACUAACCAAUUACACAAAAAUUCCAAACACAAAUUUGGCAGCAAAAAUUUGUGUUGUAAGAUUUAACUUACGUCAACAAAACUUCGAAUCAGAUAGAAAAAUAAAACCAGAGUGAUAUAGCCAGUAAAACUAAUUUUAUCAAGCACAAUCUUUCAGUUUUCAUGUCAGUGCAUCUUUUAAGUCAAAGCGAAUCCUUAAAAAUUGCAACAAUAGAUGGGGCCAAAUUUAAAGUUUCCUAAAUUCUAACCAAUAUCAUGGCUCCAGAAUGCUAAGAGUAAAGCCCUGCUCCUCUAGCAGUUAAAAUUUCACAGAUCUCUAUAUUUUGUUUUUUAAGGAUGGGAAGGCCUAAUUGGAUAAAUUAUUACUUUCAGGGCUGAGGCUGUGUAUUCUCUGACAUUGAAACCCGAAUCUACACCCACCAGCAUCAGACCCUUAACAGACAAUCCACUUUCCGAUUGAAAUGAAGUAGAAAAGGGUCUACAGUAAUAAGUGGAUUGAAAUGAAGUAGAAAAGGGUCUACAGUAAUACAGACUUCUGACUGUUUACAGCAUAUAAACACGCCUACCAAUAUUCACCAUAAACACGCUAGCAAUCUAGUUGCUUACAGGCUGCAUCCUUAACAGUAUGGCCUUGAUUUCAUCCAACACCACCAAGUACCACUGUUGUCCUCUAAAUCAAGUGAAAUAAGUUUCCCUUAAUAACUAAUAUGGACAGGAAUAUAAUAAACAAUAAGAACAUGGAUUUUAAGAUGCUAGAUUUUCAGUUUUUCAACUUUUCUCUCUGCUAGAACACCAAAAUGGGCCAUAUUGAAUCUGAUUCGUCAUUGAAGCUAAUGUCAUAGAUCAUCAGGAGAAUCUUCCUAAAUAACCCAGAGAGAGAUUACUGACUUCACCUGAUAUUUGACACUCAACCCGUUGCACCCCUGAAAUGUUGAGCCAGGAAAUGAAGAUAAAAUGAAAGAAUCAAUCACCGCAAACUUUUCUUUGGCCAACCACCACUCGGAGAAUAUCGGCAAUUGUAUACCCCCUACACAAAAGCAAUUAUCCAAAUGCAUUGUCAGGAAUAGUAAAAAUAAAAAUUUAGUAACAGUAGCAAAAUAUUCUUCAAUACCACCAUCAAUGUAGAGACAAAGGCGCACACAAAAAGGCCAGAAUAAAUCACUGUACCAAAGGAGAAAAAGGAAAAGUGCCAGACCCUAUAUAUAUAUAUAUAUAUAUAUAUGUAUACGUAUGUAUCUUUAACAUACAAACAAAGAAAACUUGACAAAACAAUUAUGUGAAAUAUGGCUAACAAGUAGUCCAGGAAAGUAGUUGGCUGAUGUCCGAAACUACUAUGGUAUACUGCAAAUGAUAGUGGAAACUAGGAACAUAGAUAAAAUCCAAAAAUCUUAUCAUCUUUUUACACUCAACUUAUAUUUAAUCAAAAAAUGCUUGGAAAACAAGGAACACUAACAUAUACUUAUAUUCACUAAAAUAAUGAAAUAUCAUAUUAAUAAAACCGUUGUCAUGAAAGUCACUUCCAUAACUUGAUGUUGAGGGCAGAUAAGAAUAGGAAUUAUUUUUUGUCCCAAUGAACUUCUAUAAAUCACCAGUUCGAUUUUUGAAUGACUGACAAAAUCAAACCUGAAAAUAUAAAAAUAAAUGAGGAAACAAAUCGUAAUGUACAAGAACCAUCCGUACCAUCUCGAACCAACUGCUCAGACAAUUGUUCCCCAAAUAUUCUAUCAGGAGAAGAGGAGGAACUUAUAAGUGUUUUUAUUCUUUCUUCAUUGCCAAGCCAGCGCCCAACUAUAAGUAACAUUUCCUGUGACAAGCUAAUUUCUGCCGCCGUUGCAUUUUCUGAUGAAAUGGAGUCAAUACCACCAAUGCAAACUUCAAGGUCAUCUAACAAGCUCCUUCGCUGAGAAGGAAUGUCAAAUACUCUUUCUUGAAUAAUCUGGCAAAGGUCUUCCAAAUCUACCGAGCUAACCUCAGUAGGUUUAACCUAAGGACAUGGAUAAUACAAUUGAAUAUGAUUAGGCUCAAAAACUUGUACAUCAUGUAUCUGUAUAAAAGUAGAGUUUCAUCAUUGAUAAUUCAUGUAUACUUAUCCAAAAAAAUAUUUUGAUGCAGAAAAUACCUCUAGCUCAAGAAAAUUCCCAAACCGUGUUUUUAAAUGCUGGGGACUUCCAAUACAUCUAAGCUGGCCGCCAACCUAACAGGAUAGAUAAUGCAUCUUAGACAAUGGUCGCUGAGGAAAGUAUUGACCGACAGGCUUGUAGGGUGAAAAGUCAAUUCAUACCAUUAUUCCAAUUCUGGUGCAUAAUGCUUGAGCUUCAUUCAUGCUGUGGGUUGUAAGGAUAACUGCUGUCUUCCCUUGUCUAGUUGAUAAACGAGAUAUCACUUCCCACAUGAAUCGUUUAGCAAUUGGAUCCAUGCCUGAAAUAAUAAAUAAUAAGUAGCUGGUCCACCUAUUGAAAUCAUGGAAAACCAAUAAUGUUCAAUAAGAAAAGAAUAAACGUGUUCAUCAUCAUUUCCUUUAACACUGGUAGUUACAUAAUUCUCGAUGAAAAUAUUCUGUUAGAAUCAACAUUUUGAGCUUCACAGCCAAGAACCUAGUGAAUGUGACGAGACUCCUAACCAAAAUAUGAUCUUGUAUGUAAAGUAAAAUGUUACACACUUCAAAUACCAAUCUUGGGCCCUUUCCUAAGAUUAAUUGAUAAAUGGUUACUCAACAUAUACAAAGAGGCUUCCAUAAGUAGUGGGUAUGUGCUCCAUUUAUUAUCUUCUUUUUGUCUUACUUGAGCCUUAAAGUGGUAAAGGUGGUAGUGUUAGAAAAUUAGAAAAAAUAUGUGCUGUAAUUAUAUAUUAGCUGUAAAUUAGUCAUUAGCUGUAACAUAGCUAUUUAGGUGGAAAUCUAUGUAUUUUAGGAAAAUCUACCUAGAAAUUAUUCUUUCCUUAAAUCAGUGAUUCAGUUUCCUGAUUUAAUGGUUUUAUGUGUGCUGUAAAUCUCUAUAAAAGAACAAUCUCAAUGAUAGAAUAAUUAAUUCUGUGCAAACCUAUUUUUCAAGUUGGUAUCAGAGCCGAAAGAAUAUCUUGCCGGAAUUCCUUUUUUCUUCCUUUUGAUCCCUGCACCCUAAAACCAUGUCUGACUCUUCAUCCAAUUCCAGUACUGUCCCUCAAUCCUCUAUGAACAAUCCUAGUAGCACGGAUGUUUCAAAAAUCAGUGCUACCUCCUCAGAAUCUCAUUCUGUACAAAUCACCACAAUUCGUUUGAAUGGUGACAAUUUUCUGAAAUGGUCUCAAUCAGUUAGGAUGUAUAUUAGAGGGCGUGGAAAAAUGGGCUAUUUGACUGGUGAAAAGAAGGCUCCUGCAGUGGAUGAUCCGGCCUAUGUUACAUGGGAUGCCGAGAAUUCCAUGGUGAUGAGGUGGCUUGUGAAUUCAAUGGAAGAAGAUAUUAGCUCUAAUUAUAUGUGCUAUCCAACAGCACAAGAGCUUUGGGAGAAUGUAAAUCAGAUGUAUUCUGAUCUCGGAAAUCAAUCACAGAUUUUUGAGUUGAUCCUCAAACUCGGAGAGAUGCGACAAGGGGAGCACAAUGUCACAAAAUAUUUUAAUUCCUUAAAGCGGAUUUGGCAAGACCUUGACCUUUUCAACACCUAUGAGUGGAAAUCUCCUGAGGAUGCUCAACAUCACAAAAAGACUGUAGAGGAUGGCCGCAUUUUUAAGUUUUUGGCUGGACUGAAUGUCGAGUUUGAUGAGGUGAGGGGGAGAAUUAUUGGACGACAGCCCCUACCUUCAAUUGGUGACGUUUUUUCAGAGGUCAGAAGAGAGGAGAGUCGGAGGAAUGUGAUGCUUGGCAAGAAGGGAACUGGGGUUGCUGAAGGUUCUGCCCUGGUCUCCAUGACUGGAAGCAAGGCUCCUAUUUUGCAACGCAAAUCUGAUGAAAAACAACAAGUUUGGUGUGAUUUUUGUCAUAAGCCUCGCCAUACCCGUGAGACCUGCUGGAAAAUUCAUGGGAAACCUGCAAAUUGGAAAGGGAAAGCUGGCCGAGCCAACCCUACUGCCAAUGAGGUUGAGACCAGCCCCUUCACCAAAGAGCAGAUGGAGCAUCUUCUUGCACUGUUAAAAUUUAAUUCGGUACCCAAUGUUCCUAGUGUUUCUGUGGCACACACAGGUAAUAAAUUCUAUGCUCUAUCUUGUCAAUUUAAAUCUGCUCCAUGGAUAAUAGAUUCAGGAGCAUCCGACCAUAUGACCAAUUCCUUACAUUUGUUUGAAACUUUUUCACCAUGUCCCGAAAAUAAGAAGGUUAGGAUAGCCGCUGGUAAUCUCUCACCAAUUGUAGGAAAAGGCCUUAUAAAACUUUCUGAGAGAGUAGAUCUUAAAUCUGUUCUCUAUGUCCCUAAACUUGCUUGUAAUCUCUUGUCAGUUAGCAAACUAUCUAGAGACUCUAACUGUUCUGUUAUUUUCUAUGAAUCCUAUUGCAUUUUUCAGGACCGGAGCUCGGGGAAGACGAUUGGCAGUGCUAGGAUGAUUAAUGGUCUCUAUUAUUUCGAGGAUAAAUUUCUUAGUAAUAAAAUAGUUCAAGGGCUAAGUAGUAUUAGUUCUUUAUCUGCUCGUGAUCAAAUAAUGGUUUGGCAUUGUCGUUUAGGCCACCCAAGUUUUUCUUAUUUAAAACAUUUAUUUCCAGUGCUAUUUAAAGGGAUUGAUCCUUCAUCAUUUCAAUGUGAGAGUUGUUUAAUGGCAAAAAGUCAAAGAAAAUCUUAUAUUCCAAAACCUUAUCAUGCUUCAAGACCGUUUUAUUUAUUCCACAGUGAUGUUUAGGGUCCUUCAAAAGUGACCACAAUUUCUGAAAAAAAAUGGUUUGUGACUUUUAUUGACGAUCAUACACGUCUGUGUUGGGUUUACUUAAUGAGAGAAAAAUCUGAUGUAGAACAGAUUUUUAAAGAAUUUUAUAGGAUGAUUGAAACUCAGUUUCAAACAAAAAUUAGUAUUUUGAGAUCUGACAACGGAACAGAGUAUUUUAAUAAAGUUUUGAAAACUUUUUUAAAUGAACAACGAAUUUUACACCAAUCCUCUUGUUCCGGCACACCUGAACAAAAUGGCAUUGCUGAGCGUAAGAACAAGCACUUGUUAGAAGUAGCUAGAGCCAUGAUAUUUUAUAUGAAUGUUCCAAAGUAUCUAUGGGGUGAUGCUAUACUGACAUCUUCGUAUCUUAUUAACAGGAUGCCUACCAAAGUUUUACAAUAUAUCACCCCGUUGGAUUGCUUAAAAAAGGUAUUCCCAGAAUCUAGAAUCAAUUUUGACUUACCUUUGAAAAUAUUUGGCUGCACAGCAUAUGUGCACACUCCAAAGAGGCUAAGGUCUAAAUUAGAUCCAAGAGCUGAAAAAUGUGUUUUUAUAGGGUAUGCACCCAAUAAAAAAGGUUACAAAUGCUUUAAUCCCUUUACAAAACGUUUUUUUGUCACUAUGGAUGUUUCUUUCAUGGAAAACACAUCAUACUUUACCAAAAAUUUGCUUCAGGGGGAGAAGAUAGUUGAACCAAAUUUUUGGGAAAUUGCUGAACCCUUACCUAGCACAUUACUUGAUACCUUUUUUGAAAAAGAAACCUUGGAAACUAGGCCUAAAGAAACCGAAUCUGACAUUGGUCUGACAGAAAAAGAAAUACUACGAAUGGAAAAAAAUAGAAACAAUCUUGAGCCUGUGGUUUAUUCUAGGAAAGGUGUCCUUAGAGGUGGUAGAGACCAGGCCAUUAUCCAAGCACGUGGUCAACCGGAAGCCCUAAGCAAUGGUCAUCCAAAUGCCUCAGGUAAUCCUUCUUCUGUUCCUUCCUCUUCCUUUCCUAUUACUGACUUAAAUUUACCAUUACGAUCAGAUUCUAGGGAAGAGAACUCUGCACCUGAAUCUAUUUUGGAACCAGCCCCUGUUAUUCUUGAACAGAAUCUUAAUCUUGACCUCCCCAUUGCCCUUAGAAAAGGAACCCGAACAUGUACCAAACAUCCUAUUGCCAAAUAUAUUUCCUAUCAAAACCUUUCUGACAAUUAUAGAGCUUUCACUACAAACAUUUCAAAACUUCUUGUGCCUAGAAAUAUUCAAGAAGCACUUGGUGAUCCAAAUUGGAGGUUGGCUGUGUUUGAAGAGAUGAAUGCCUUGAAGAAGAAUGAUACUUGGGAGAUGGUAGAAUUACCGAAUGGAAAAAAGGUUGUGGGGUGCAAAUGGGUGUUUACUAUCAAGAGUAAGGCAGAUGGGAGUGUCGAGAGAUACAAAGCCCGUCUUGUUGCAAAAGGUUUUACUCAAACCUAUGGGAUAGAUUACCAAGAGACCUUUGCUCCGGUAGCUAAAAUCAACUCAAUUAGGGUCCUGUUGUCUCUUGCUGUUAACUCUAAUUGGCCCUUACACCAAUUGGACGUUAAAAAUGCUUUCCUUAAUGGAGACCUUGAGGAGGAGGUAUAUAUGAGUUCCCCACCAGGCUUUGAAGAAAGGUAUGGAAAUGGGAGAGUGUGCAGAUUGAAGAAGUCCUUGUAUGGACUUAAACAGUCACCAAGAGCUUGGUUUGAGCGCUUUGGCAAGGUGAUUAAGCGCUAUGCAUAUAUUCAAAGUCAAGCUGAUCAUACAAUGUUUUACAAGCAUUCAAAUGAUGGUAAAAUAGCUAUCUUGAUAGUUUACGUGGAUGAUAUCGUGUUAACUGGGGAUGAUUGUGAUGAGCUAGCAAAGUUAAAAAAGAAACUGGCUGAGGAGUUUGAGAUUAAAGAUCUCGGGGCAUUAAAAUACUUUCUUGGGAUGGAGUUUGCUAGAUCUAGAGAAGGCAUUUUUGUAAAUCAGAAGAAGUAUGUUAUCGACUUGUUAAACGAGACAGGUAUGCUAGGGUGUAAACCUGCUGAAACCCCUAUAGAACCUAAUGUGAAACUGCAACCUGCAGAAGCUGAGAAUGUGAAGAAUAGGGAGCAUUAUCAGAGACUUGUUGGGAGAUUGAUUUAUCUAUCCCAUACACGCCCAGAUAUAUCCUUCUCUGUUAGUAUGGUUAGCCAAUUUAUGCAUGCCCCAGGACCGGCACACUUUGAAGCUGUCUACAGAAUUUUAAAGUAUCUAAAAGGGACACCGGGCAAAGGACUUCUGUUUAAGCCACAAGGACACUUGCAGAUUGAAGCCUACACAGACGCAGAUUGGGCUGGAAGCAUAGUAGACCGAAGAUCCACUUCUGGAUACUGUUCAUUUGUAGGUGGUAAUUUGGUUACAUGGAGAAGCAAGAAACAGAAUGUGGUAGCUAGGAGCAGUGCUAAGGCUGAAUUUAGAGCUGUAGCCCAUGGUAUUUGUGAGAUCAUGUGGAUUCGGAGGCUGUUGGAAGAGUUAAAAGCGACAAAAUCAUCUCCUAUGAAGUUGUACUGUGACAACAAGGCAGCAAUCUCAAUAGCACACAAUCCAGUCCUUCAUGACCGCACAAAACAUGUGGAGAUUGACAAGCAUUUCAUCAAGGAGAAGAUAGAUAAUGGAUUGGUUCAUAUGGAGCACAUUCCUACUGGAGAACAAGUGGCUGAUGUCUUUACCAAAGGACUACACACAAAACAGUUCAAUUUUCUAGUUGGCAAGCUGGCUAUGGAGGAUAUCUUCAAACCAGCUUGAGGGGGAGUGUUAGAAAAUUAGAAAAAAUAUGUGCUGUAAUUAUAUAUUAGCUGUAAAUUAGUCAUUAGCUGUAACAUAGCUAUUUAGGUGCAAAUCUAUGUAUUUUAGGAAAAUCUACCUAGAAAUUAUUCUUUCCUUAAAUCAGUGAUUCAGUUUCCUGAUUUAAUGGUUUUAUGUGUGCUGUAAAUCUCUAUAAAAGAACAAUCUCAAUGACAGAAUAAUUAAUUCUGUGCAAACCUAUUUUUCAAGUGGUAGCAACAUUGGUGGAUCUGUAUUACUAGUAAUAUAAGAUGUGAAAUUCUCAAAAAUAUAUCACCAGAAAAGUGGAUGGCCAUCCAAAAACGAAAGCAUACACCAGAGUCAAAUGCAAACCAUACAAGGUAUAUCUUUCAUAGCUUAUCUUUAUGCAAUUUUUUGGAAAUUCUAUGCCAGAAAAGGGGAUCCAGUCCUCUCUGACACCAAAUAACCUCAAGAGAUUGCAGUUUAGCAAUCCGUAUAACCCUUCUAAAAAGAUUCAAUAUGUCAACAAGUAAUGAAAAAUAUACAUACCUGUUGAUGGCUCAUCAAGAAUAACAAUUGGAGGAUCUCCAAUCAUUGCAAUUGCAACCGAUAAUUUACGCUUGUUACCCCCGCUCAGGGUAAAUGAUGGUUUUUUGGCAUGCUUCAACAAGUCAAACUCAACUAACUUUUCCAUAACAACCUGCCAACAUGGGGUUCCAUAAUAUGGUUCUCAGCAUGAUUAAGAAAUAUUUCAUGCAUGGCAGUAGAUUGCAGCUGACUAAAUGCAGUGUGUUUGUUAGAAGAUCCCAAUGCCUGUUUUUGAGUAGCAAUGAAUAGGUCACCUACACAUUCAAAUCUGAACUACAGAGAACAAAACUUCAACAGCACCCAAAUAAACCCUUGCAAAUUUAACCUAACUUUGUGUCGGUUGUGAACUACCACUAUGCAGGAGAAUGAUGAAGAAUAGUGAUUAUAGACUUUAAAAUAUAUACAUACAUCAUCCAUCCUGUAUUCUGCGACUCCUUUUAUCCUAGCAUAAAGCUCAAGAUGCUCUUGUACAGUCAAAUAUUCCAAUAAAGCAUCAAAUUGGGGGCAAUACCCAAUCUGUCAAUGAUUAGUAUAAGAAACAAGUCAGAAAGAUUAGAAGCACACCUUUUUAAUAAAUAUAGUACACUCAACUAUAAAAAGAACGGAAAAUAGUUGAAGCAAAACAUACAAGCCGACGGGCAGCCUUGGGAUCUGAACGUAUAUCUUUGCCAAAAAUAAAAGCAGUCCCAUCAGUUGGAUAUUCUUCUCCUGUAUUGGAAAAAUACACAAUUCAGAAAGAGGAAUCAAAUCUUCCAAAAUCUCAGUCAAUAAAUCAGAAUUUAGGAACUGAUCAGGCUUAACAUAAAAGCACAUAAAUGAUAUUUAUUCCAAGUCUAAUGAUUCAAAAUGCAAAAAUUUUCUAACAUCUCAAACAUUAUCAAUUUCUCAUGAUGACCCCUGGUGAAGGGUAAUGAUUAGCAAAUGCACAACCACUAGAAAUGAGAAUAAUAAAUCCUUACAGAAAAGUGACCAAUCCUCAUGAAGUGAGAACCUCCGGUAAAUUCAGAAAUGCAAAAAUCAAGUGAUGAACUAUCUUUCCUGAGCAUAAACCAUUAUUAUAUGUUUUUGUUCUUCAAAGGAAUGCAUAUAAAAUGUUUCACAUAUACAAUAUUUUAUCUCUGUGAAUAUUGGAAAUAUACCAGAUAUCAUAGACAAAGUAGUAGUCUUCCCAGCUCCAUUUGUUCCCAAGAACCCAAAGCACUCUCCUGCUUGAACUGAGAAAGUCAAUGAAUGUACAGCAACUUUUGCAUCAGAACGCUUUCCCCCAGGAUAAACCUGAAAAAGGUGACAGAUAAUGCUGCUAAAUAAUGACAGAUUGCGGCAGUUAACUAGAGGAAGCAUAUAUUGGAAAUACCUUUCUUAGAUUACGCAAGUAGAUGAUGGCAUUAUCCACGGAGCCAGAAAGUACCCUAUUUCUUUCAACCUGUACAUCUACAUCUUCAUUGAGAUCCAGAGUAUCACUUUCUGAGGAAGAUUGCAGAAGGGGUUCCAAGUAACUCGAAGGAGUAUUACACAGGCGAUGUCUAGUUCCUUUCCACCACUCCUUAAUUGUCAUUAGAGUCCAUUUGUGAGAAGGCAAGAGCUCAAGUCCAAGUGUUAAGAGAAAGUAGCAAAUACUCUGUCACAGGUAAGAAAAUUGAAUCAGGCCCUAAAAUUUAAGUGAAUAUACCCUGAUAAACAGAACACCCAAGAAUUUACCCUGAUAAACAGAACACCCAAUCAAUUGUUGGCGCCAACUGGCUUAGUUGGUUAAACAAUUGGGUUGAUACAACAGGUUUGGGGUUUAAACUCCGCUCACAUGGAUGGGGAGGAGAUUAGUAACCGUAUGUGCUGUACUUUGGCCCUGGGGGGAAGGGGUGUGGGGUGUUGAGAGAGCAAAAAAAAUGCAAAUGGCUGACAGCAACCAAUUUUAUUUGGGUACACAAUUUGCCAAAAAAGUAAUAUUUAUAAAAUAAUCACAUGUCACCAUGACAAACCUGCAUCACGACCAUUUUUUAGCAAUGAUUUUUAUUGUAGUAAAUAAAAAGGUGAAGCCAUAGAAAGGUACAAAACAUGUCAGACAUUCAGAUUUAUGAGAAAAAUAGUGGUUUAACAAUGGGCCAUAACUCAAAAUCCAGUGGGCUCCCCAUUUGAUCUCAGUUCAGAAAUCAGGUGUAGGGGCACAUAUAAUCACUUUUAAGAGAUUAUAAACAUCUUAGUAGUACCUAAUCUGCAAAGAAGGAAUUACUCAAACAGGGAAUGCAUAAGAUGCACCCCAUUGAAUGGACAAUGAUUUCAUAACUUUUUCUAACCUACAAUUUGUUUUUUCCCUCUUAAUUUAUUAGCAAUGAAUUUAUAGUUUUAGUCUCCAUAUUUAAAGAAAACAAAAAUAUUGAGGUAAGCUGAAAAAUCCCUCCGCUAACAAUUAAAGAUACAGGAGAUAAUUCAUUUUAGGACAUCACUUGCACCAAUUACUACUUAGCCAAAUCGUCAUUGGCAUCACACAAGUAGGGACUAAAAUUUAGAUCAAAAACACUCAGUACCAUCGACAACAUAGGGACUACAGUGAAGAUAUAAUAAUUAGACAAGCACAGUAGGACAUGAUUUACAUAUAGAGGGCUUGAAUUGUAGAAUUCACCUCACAUCCAAGGUAACAAAUGGAGGCAGAAGUAACAUUCCAAUCAAAAACCCCAUCACUAGUUUUAUCUUUCAUCCCUUGCCGUAGAAGAGCCAGUGAAGCAAGGCCGUCAGCAAAGCAAAACCCUGGUGAUAAUCUGAAGAAAUUCUGGAGAAUGAAGACAAAUUCUUCAUCAUCAGCAUGGACAGUUGCAAUAUACACAACUAUUUAAUGACAGUUACCUAGAAGAUAUGAGUAGUUCUCAAGUGAUUAACAGCUGCCAUGAUAAUAUGCAAAGUAAAUAGUAGGCAGAGGAAAUUAAAUAUGUAUUCCCAACAAACAGGCCAGUUUUUGGCCUCUUGAAAUGGAAGCAAGAAGUUAACAGCUCAGGUCCAAGAGGAUAUGUUAAAUUUGGGCUGGUAAGGGAUGGAGUGCAAGAUAACUUCAAAAAAUAAAUAAACAAAGAGAAGAUUAUAUUAAAUGUCUUUAUGAAAUUCUUUGAUACCAGAACAUUUCGGGAAGCAAACAGCUUCACAUGUUAAGAAAGAAACGCGUUAAAAGUGGUUUCAUUUGUCUGAGAAAAUUAGCAGGACAAAAUUCAAAAACUAAGGCAAAUUAAACAAGGCCGCAUAAAAACUGUUGCUAAUAUAGAAGCCAUAAUGCAUCCUUUUAUUAGGGUAUUCAAGUCAUUUACUUUGAAGUUCUAAAUUUAAAAAGAGUCACUUGAUACACAGGCUAAGCACACAUAAAAACCAGCAUAAAAAAAAUAAAAAUAAAAUAAAAUAGAAACCUUCAAAAUUUGCAACCUAAGCCACUCCUUUCACUACUCCCUCUUAUCUCACUAUUUUCAGCCUCAACAAAGUCACAGCAGUUACAAAUGCAAUGUUUUGAAGCAAACUCAGUGUGCGAAAGUCAAAAGCACAAUUAUUGAGAAGAAACUGGCGCAUGAGAGCAUGAAAAUACUAAGAUUGCUUAUUCGUUUAUUGAGGCAUGAGAGCAUGAAAAUUCUAAGUUGAUGAAUAUAUCUUCUCAAUCCCAUAUAUGCUUAAAAUUAUGGCCAUCAUUGACAAUGUCACUACAUUGUGUUUUCUUUUUUUUCAACUCAGAAAUAAAAUAAGUAUAUUGGAUGUAGGAAAUUUACACAGAGGAGAGACAAGAAGUCCAUAACGAAAAAAGACAAAAAUACCCAAGCCCAACAACCCACAAACAUUUGAAAAGGUUAUGGAAUCCAACCUUGAGAAGAGAAUUUGCACUUCUUGUUGCCUCUAAAAGCCCCAUAAUAAAUGAGAUAACCAUCAGAAUGAGUCCAGUGAAGAAAUGGACCAAAAGAACCACAUUCUGCAAGUACAUAAGAAAGUUAAAAUAAAAUUAAUGAGAUUGUAACAAUGAUGUCUUGGAAACCAAAAUCUAAAAAAAGAAGGGAUGCCUUCCAACCUGAGCCAUUGUGUGGUCAGAAAAGAAGAAAGUAAGGCAAUAUGUUGAUGAUGCGAUUGCCAAUCCAUACCCCAAAAAAAUGAGGACUGUUGGCAACAAACAAUCCCUUCCAACGAACUGAUCAAGACCUACAGAGCCAAAUUACCUUGAUUACAAUAAAAACUAAUAGAACAUUAAAAAAUAAAAAGAAAAAGAAAAAGAAAAAGAUUUAAAAAGAAGUAAAUUGUACUAUAAAACAGACACAUUGUUUUACAUUAGUAUUACUAGGGACGACUACAAAUGCAAAAAAUGGCUUUUCCCUGCCACAAUCACACCUACAGUUUUCAUCUCUAAUGACUCAGAGACCUAGCAAAUGUUAGUAAUAAGAUCAACAUAUAUAUAGCAAGCGUCAAUUUUAAAAUAACAGGAUGAGACAUUACUACUUCUAAAGUAAGCACAUGUACUGCAAAAGAUACAAAAGGGGACAAUUUAACAUUAUUGACAUUCGUAUGUCAAAUCAUUCAUCGGUGACAAAAGUAAGCAAGGAAGAUCCUUGGUGUAACAAUAAAAAUUUACAGUAUUCUGAGCACUUCAGAAAACCAACACCACAUGGUCAACUAACAUCUGAACAGGGCAUAUAAUUGAGCAUUUGGGAUAGAACUAUCAAUUAUAUUUACAAUGUAAGACAAAGACAUUUAACCUGAAAGCGAAAAUGACACCCAAUACCUGGACAAUUAUAGAGGUAGUAAAGUCUACAACAUACCAAAGAUGUAGAAGAGAAUUAUUGCACAACUUGAAGGAAAUAAGAAGCUGAUGAAGUCCCAUAUGUACGUAGAAGUCCAAUAUGAAAGUACAGAAACCUGAACAAAAGACAUAAUGAUGAAUUUAUAAUUAUACAAAUAUUAGUUAUAGAAAAUUUUAAGGAGCAAAUUUAUGACAUGAUGAAAAACAUUACCCCACUAAUCAAUUGCUGCUGCUUAGCUUUCACUUCACGCUCCUGCAACAGAUAAGACGACACAAUGCAUUUGAAAAACAGAAGAAAAUUUGGAAACACACACAAUAUAAAAUGCUGAAUCCUCUUUCCAAGGAUUUUAUUGACCACAAUAAAGCAAAAAAAUUUUAAAAAAUGGAAAAAUGAAUUGUACUCUUCACCAAAAAAUAGUUUAAUGAUGUUAGCAAGAGGACUAAUGGCACUUAUUAGGUGUCAAGUUAUCACUAAACCUAAAAGCUUACAUUUACAUGCAGGAACUUGGUUGCCAAGCUAGUUUAGUUGGUGAACUCUUUUGGGUUGAUACAAGAGGUAGCGGUUCAAACUCACUCAGACAGGUGAGAAGGAGAUUUAAUUACCAGUUAUGUUGUUAUGCUUUAAAAAAAAGAUUAUAUCUAUAUGCAACGACUUUACAAUACAGUAGAAUUUUAACAAUAAUAUGUCUCCUAACAUGUAAUGGUGUAAGAAACGUGAUCACCCAACAACCAUACACAUAAUAAUAUAAAUAAGCAUAACAAAUGAUAAAUUAUUUAAUAAAAUAGAUGAUUGAUAUUCACAAGAUAUCUUGGUCCAAUUCACCGAGAUACCAUGUUGAGGAGCAACAAUAAUUAUUUAAGCUGUGUGUAAGGAAAACCUAAUAAGUCAAUAUGAAAACCAGAGAAUAAGUUGGCGGCUCAAAAUUGAAUAAGUCAUCUUAAAGAGUAAAGACACGUCCACAUACUGCACACAACUUAUGGGAAGAUGGGGGAAAAGGUGAUCAACUGGAGAUGGAGCUUCUUGCAGGAAAGAAAAGCAGAAUAAAAUGAGGCACAAUCAUGUGAUCAGAUAAUUCAUGCCGUAUGGUGCCAACUUAUGUAACUAGUUUUGGGAAAGGAUUAAAAAGAUUGUGAAGAUUGUGCAAUCAUCCCAAUGGUCCCUUGAUAAGUGUUCUCUUUUUAUCAUCAUACAAAAUUAUUUGCAUGCUUUUUUGACUGGUCGGGUCAAGAAGAUGAUGUUCAUGAUUCCAUAGACAAAGAAGAUCCAAACAAGUGGGAAUAAACUGCCAAGUACAACAUCAUAGGUUCUUGUUUGAUAAUGUUGUUAUUGACAAAAACUAACGAGACAUAGAGAACAAAGAUUUUCUUUCUCUAACAAUAGGUACUGAUGGAUAAACAAUGACAAAUAAGGGAAGUUUUCAAUUGGAAUUUUAUAGCUUAUUUACACACACAAAAAGUUGAAUAAAAUAAAUAAAUUACGUAAAACAGAUUUUAUUUUUUUUUGAGUAUGAAUCACAACUCUUCAAUAAAGUGUUGACAAAUUAUAAUAAUAAAUAAAAAAUUAGAAACUUCAUCUCCUCUCAAUCAUCACUUAUGUUACCCUUUAAGAGAAGAAAUAACAACUUGUGUACCAAAAAUCAUAUAAGAGUAUUACUGCAAAGUGUACAAGGAUUUACCUUUACAAUGGCAACAGCAAAUGAGGCAGGAAUAAACGAGAACGCAAUACUGAUAAUAAUUGAAACGGAGAAGGCAUCCAGAUCCUAAAAGAUUAUGAAUAUUCACAAAAUAAAUAUUUAUAUCCUGAGGCAAUAAAGAUGAAACGAUUAAAAAAGGUGUUGACAAAUUAAAAUCUUCCCUAUUGAGAAGAAGCCAAAAAACUAUAAAAUUAAAUCUCAGCAUAAAAGUUUAAGCCAUUUGCUUUUUCGUUAGCUUCUAGCAGGAUCUGCUUCAAUGUAAAACAGUAAGAUACACCAAAGAUCAGAAAGCAUACAUGACGUUGUAACUGCUGGCUUUGUGUCGUGGGCAGAGGGUGGUUGCGUGUCCUAAUUGUCAUAUUUCUAUUCCCAGUAGCAAGCCUAAGAAUUGCUGUGUUCAUGACAUUGAUAAAAGUUGGACCAGCAUGCUGACAGGAGCUGUUAUGUAGUACAGUAAACCCCAAACUCCCAUCAUCAUUCUGAUCAUCCAUCACAAUUGCACCAUACCUGGAAAUGUACAUUAAAAUGAGUAAGUGCCACAGUCUCAUCAUGAUAUUUUAGAGGCUUUUAUUAGAAGUCACUCAGAAGUAUAUUAAAAAGAAAAAUCAAGUUGAUACUUCAGAACAAAACUCCACAAAACCACCUCAACAAGUGAUUGUACUUUAUAUUAGAAAGCAACUGUAGAUAUAUAUUAUUCUUUUAAAGAAAAUAUGUUUUUCUCAAUAUUUGCACCAUUCACAUACUACAUGCAGCUAAUAAGCAUCGAAUAUUAUCUAUGAAAUCACACUAUAAUUUCCUUUUGUUUUCUAAGGGAAACGUUCAUGAUUCAGUUUCUUCAAAUUAUAGAGAGGAGCCACAUGAAAAGGCUCAUUCCAAAUGCUAAGACCAAUCCACAUUGGGUUGCACAUCCAUGAACAAUCCUGAUAUUUCACAAAACAAAACAAGUAUUGGGAGUUCAAAAAAACAUUUAAGUAUUUCGGAACUUGGGUCAAUGCACCUUGACUGAUAGGACUCAUUGAAGCUCGACAUCAAAUAUUCGCUCAUGGAGAGUAGAACUGGUCCCAAAGUUGGCCCUGCUGCAUCAACUGCAUCCGCUAAAGCCUUUUCUGCAUUAGGGAAUCUAUAUGAACUCUGUUUAAAUCUUUGAAUCCACCCCCCUUGGAUGUACUUUGAGACCUAUAGAACCAACAGUUUCUUAUAAGGGGAGAAACAAAGCAGUCACAUGUCAUCAAAAUGAAAUUUGAGAGCAGAAAGUUCUAGAAUUUCUGAAAAUAUAACAUCAUACAUCAAAUCAAAUUAAUUUGAACAUAAAAGAAUAUUAGAACAGAGACUAACAAACCUCAUUUGCAAUUGGCCAGGAAAGAUCAAAAGGAAUUGGACCACCGCCACCACCACCACUUAAAAGAGGAUUAAAAUUUGAAGUUGUAAAGGUCACAGACAGCAUAUCAGGAUGUGGCUUAAGCUUUAGAAACAGAAGACCAACAAGCAAGCAGAUGGCAGGAAUUAAAAGCUGGAACACUAUUGUUUUGCGGUCCCUUCGAGCUGAUACUGCCCUCUUUAUAAAUAACGCUUUACAAUGUUGCCAAAACAUUGAUCUUGAAAUGAUACAACAGGUACAGCACUUCUUAAUUAAGAAGUUCAGGAAACCGAGAACAGCAGCAACAAUCAAAGUACAGGCUCUCUGUACAACAGUAACAAUAAAUCCAAAAACCCAUUUAUAAUUUCCAAAUAAUUUACAGUUGGAAAUUCUUUUGGGAGCUUGAUCAUCAGAUUCAGCAGAAACAUAGUCAAGUGUGACAAGAUUAUUUCGCUGGCUAAUACAUUCAGAUUCAUCCAGGUUGCAUCCUGCAACUCUUAGGAAUACCUCCUCCAGAGUUGUGACAGAUAUACCAAAACUUUCAAUGCCAAGAUAAUCUGUAUCUUCAGUAGCAUCUGCUUCCACCUUUGAAACUGAUUUUCUUAUGCAACUUUCUAUUUCUCUAAACAUACUCUCAAAGGACGAUGAUGAUGCCAGAGGCAACUUGAAGGUAAUCUCAGUUCCAACCUGGAAAGGCAGUUAACAAAAAUAUCAUUCAAGUUUUAGCAUUCUUCACGUCUAAUAACAGUACUACCUCUUCAAUGGCAAACAUUCAUACAGAAUUAAGGUAGUGAAACCACAAUAGAUGUUUAUGCCAAACCAAUCUCUUUGACAAACAGAAUAUUCCUUCUAUUUCAUCACUUCUUUAACUUCUAUCACGGGUGACUUUUAGAGUUUAACAUAUUGUGAAGUGUUGAGAGAUAUAUUAGAAGGAUAUAGGUAGUCUUUUAAUAUUGUGUUUCCCUAUGCAUAUAGCUAUUGUAUUCAGCCUCUUUGUGUAAAUGAAAAACCUAUUUUAUUUUUCCUGUGAUCCUGUCUAACAUGACAUCAAAGCCGUGAGGGAAAAAGAUAUUUUAAAAAAAAAAGGAAAAUAGUUUAGCCACCAUUAUCCAAAGAACUCUGCCAAACCCUUGAACCUCUACCACCACCCAAAUCAACAUAUCAAACAGUAGAUACUUUAUUGUCAUGGCUGCCCCAUCUGUGGCUCCUCCUCAUAUUGGAGUUUCCAUUACAGCGGUCAAUUCAAAAUUUUUGUUUUGCUCAAGAGGAGUAGUAAAGUAUUUGACUGCUCAAGGGAAAGAGAAUUACUUGACUGAUAAGCCUCCACAAGGGAUUCUAAAGAUCACCAUAAAUGGUUACAGAAGGAUACUACGGUGACUACUUGGUUACGGAAUAGUAUGGAACCUUUAGUUGCUGCUACCUCUAUGUGGGUUCAGACGACAGAGAGUUAUGGGAUUGUCCUAGGGAACGGUUUGGCCAGUCGAAGAAUAGUUCUAGAAUUGAUGAGUUGUAUGAAGCUUUUUUCUCAUGUUGACAAGGAGAUAAGUCGUUAAGCAAACUUUAUGGUGGUCCAUAACGUUUAUGGGUAGAGCUUACUUCUUAUCAUCCUCUCACUAUACAUGUUGCAAUUCUUGAAAGAUAACGUGAAGAACAAUUAGUUGUUUGUUCUCUAUCUAGUCUGAAACCUGUAUAUGGGAGUUUGAAAAAUGGUAUUUUGACUGAGAAAGAGUUACCCAACAUGAAGGAGUCUCAAGCGAUUGCCUCUACUCACAAUUUUGAUGGACAUGGGCAAGGACAAACAACUGGAUGUGGUCGAGGUCAUCGUAGAGGCAGGGAGGAGGAUGAUUUUACUAUACUCAUUCUAACGAACCAAUCAUCCCUAUGAAAAAAGUUGGGAUAAGUUUGGUAAGCCAGGAUGGGCAAAUCGAAGCCAUCGUAAUCAAGGGAGAAUUCUCCUAGUAGUACUCAAAAUACCCAAGUGCCAUCAUCUUUAGAGCCUAGCUCUUCUACUCCAGGUAAAAAGCCAGCAACAGCCACCAUAGCACAAUCAGGCACUCUAAAUGUUUUUUUAUCUAUCUCCAAUUCUACUCCUUGGAUAAUUGAUUCUGAAGAUCAAGCUAACGAUAUCUUCACCAAAGCUGAGUACAAGGGAACUUUCCUACAUCUUCAUUCCAAGUUGGGCAUUAAGAAUAUCUAUGCUCCAACUUGAGGAGAAGUGUUAGACUUAUUUUAGGAAGGAUAUAAGUGGUCUUUCAAUAUUGUUUUUCCCUAUAUAUAUAGCUACUGUAUUCAGUCUCUGUGUGAAAAUGAAAAACCUAUUUUCUUUUUCCUGCAAUCUUGGCUAACAUGAAGUAUUAAGGCAAAACAGACUAAAAUUAAAUUAGUUAAUAACCCAACUCUUCCACUGAAUUUCUCACUUGAAUCAACAUACUUUCAUAGAUAAAGUUCUAGGAGGUGUGACGUAGCAUGUGAACAUUUAAAAAAUGAAAUACCCAAUAAACUUAAUACAAGAAUGCAUCAAACUACCCAAAAUUUUCAGAUUACAAAAAUUCCUAAAUUAACUAUCCUAAUUAAUAAAAAUAUCAGCCAAUUCUAGCAAAGAUGCUCAUUGGAAAUGUUGCAGUUAUACCAGAGAUGCUGAAACAUUGAUGACUGCAGAGAACACUACUACAUUGAUGGGAUACUUAUGCAGGUAAAACCCCAAUAUAAGAUGAAUCCAUACCUCACUCACACACAGUGCUGAUGGAAUAUGACGAUAAACAAUAUCAGCAGCUGCAGAAGCGUCAGGUGCAGACUGAAAAGGAAGAAUACAAUAAGGCCAUGCAAUAGCAUGUAAUGCUCGAACGUUUGACAAACUAUGACUACUCAAGAAUAUGUACGGAUGAAUAAACAGUAAUAAGAGCAAACCUUCACCAAAGUAAGAGUAUAACCGACCCCAUACUGAUGCUUCAGGAAAAGGGAACUGUUGAAAAAUGAUCAUUACAGAUUUUUCAGCUCUUCCAAGGUCAACAUCUCAUUGAGACAGAGAAAUUUAAAAGGAGGGAAUCCGAUAUUAGAUUAAAGAAAUUGACCUUCCACAGCAUUUCAAUGAACCAUUAGCCAUGAUAGCUAUCCGAUCUCCGAGUUCUUCAGCUUCAUCCAUUGAGUGUGUAGUUAGUAAUAUAAUCCUUCCUUUUUUUAUUUUUUUAAUUAACUGCCAGGUCAGUCGCAUUGAGUAUGGGUCCAUUCCACUAGUAGGUUCAUCAAGAAUAACAACCUGCAAAAAAUAAAAAGUAAAAAGUAAAACUAAAAAUAAUACAUUCAGACUGAAAAAAAGGGGAAAAAAUCUUCCUUAAAAAAUUGCACCACCUUACUGUCUCCUAUCAGUGCAAUUCCAAGAGACAAUUUCCUCUUCAUGCCACCGGAAAGAGCCCUCACAACAAUGUUGACUUUAUCAGCCAAACCCACCUGAGCAUUUUAGGAGCAGAUAGCAGUUAAAGAAUGAAAACCCGCUAAUUAAUAUGCCAAGUUAAAUGUUAGAAAAUCAAACACGAGUAUGUAGAAAAAUUCAAAAGCAGGUAUAGGGAAAUUAAGAAGUAAUACCAGAGUCGAUGUUGCACACAUUGUCUCAAGAAAAUUAACAAAUAUAAUUUUAAAAUCAACUCAGAAUAUCAGAUGACGUGAGGCAGACAAGAUCAAGGUUGACUUGACACCUCAAGAUUGUAUAAGUUCUCUGAAAAACAUUAGUAAUUUGUUCCAUAGUACUUCGAAUGUGUGAACUCCUUCCGUAAAAAUCAUACUCGCUAACCUUAGGAUCUGGUGGCAAGGGCCAAUGAGACUUUACCGUGAUAACAAUCAGCCAUCAGCACAGCUCACAAUCCAGUUCAAUACAAUCCAAACAUGAAGAGGUGGAUUGUCACUUCAUCAAAGAGGAAAAGGACAGUAGUUCACUCCUUACAUUUCUAUAAGAAACCAACUGGCUGACAUAUUGACUAAGCGGCUUGCAAUACGUUUGUUCAAACACAGUAAGCAAGCUAGCAUAACUUGUUCAAGCCUAAAUUAAGUGGAAUUCUCACACUGUAAAUAGGGAUUUCCAAGGCAUAUUUGUAGGCGGUUUUCUGGGCUAGUGUUACUAUUCUUUCCAUUUCUGGUUUCCUACAGAGUGUAUUAUAUGUUCAGUGUAAUUAAUUAAUUAUGUUGAAUCAAUAAAUUUGAGAAAUUCCAUGAACCCUAAAUCACCAAUUAAAAGUUAUAAAUAUAAUCAUUUCAAGGCUACUAAUAUGUUUUUCUCUAAAUAUUCUAUCGUAUUGCUAGUCAUCUAUUGAUACAAAAUUAAAUUUCACAGACGAUUCUUAGAAAAUUGAUGCUCAAAAUGUCCUCUGUUUGGUGGAAAUGCAAUCAGUAGAAUACUACUAUUGUUUCAUGCAUUGAAAUUCUAGAAGGGCAGGGUCCCUUUGGGACGUACGUAGCUCCAGCAGUGUUCACAGUUCAUCGUUUAGCAUUGGAGAUGGCUAACAUAGAAAAUGUUCGCAGGCUUAACAACUAACAAAUGUGAUAGACUGAAGGAAGACAUAUGUAUAUUAGCAGACUUCAUUUCUCAUAUGAAAACUUACUUCAUCAACCAUCUCAGCAACAACACUCUCCAAAAGUUCUUCUUUAACACCUUUCAAAACUGCAAACAUCUCCAGAUGUUCUCUCACCUGGAUAGAGAGAACCCAACAAAGGUCAACUGUGGUUUUUCAAACCAUCACAAUAUCUAUAUUUAGCAUCAAAAAUAUAUCUAGACAUCAACAAAAGAACAAUUUCAUUCAAUCAGAAUGGAAAGUUGGAAAAAAAAAAAAAGAUGAAGAUGUAUACUUGGAGAUUAUAUUUCUAAAGAACAAAGAAAAUGAAAAUGGGAAUCAAGAUGAAAUCUAAACUUACUGCAGAAGGAUUACAUUUAAUAAUUUUAUGGAUAACAAUAUCGAUUAAAUAUUUUAGGUCAGCAAUUAUAAUCCUCAGAAGAGCAGAAAAUAAUUAGAUCCAAGAAAGAAACCAAGUGAGGCAUAUGAUUGAAAUACAAAGCUAUCAUAUAUAAAUUAUAAAGAUCAGAACAAUUAUAUACACCAUUAAGCAAAAGUAAAUAUCAGUCUGUUGACACCUCACCAUUGAAAAUCCUUUAUUGCAUGUCUGCUCUCUUCUCUGUUUCUUAGAAUCAAUCAGAUUGAGACAGUUCUAGUUGUAAUUUUUCAAGUUAGUACAUAAUAGAGGACUGAUUUGUAUUUAAUUUAAUAGUUAUGACACGACUGAAUUGAAUACAACAAGAACAAUUAUGGCAGUAGCCAUGAAGUCUGUUGUCAAAAUUUGACUAAUAAAGUAUUCAUUAGCUCUGCAAUAACUAUAAAGUAGCAAGAAAGAAUUAUUAGGGCAUGUAUGGUGCCUAGCAAGGGUUCUAAUUCUUGCUUGGUUGGCGUCAAUUCAUAGGGCUAAUACUUGUGAUAUGGUUUUAAAGCCAAAAGCCUCUUCAUCCGUGCAUGGGAGUGCCAUAAGCUGGAUGCUGAGAAUAUUGAUCACUUGUUCCCUUACUGCAGUACAGCAUUAAAACUGUGUUUUUCGGCAGCUGGAAAUUUCGAGGUGAUUCUGGAGUUCUUCUUCAAUGUUUGGAGAUUCUUUUUGUUCCUUUGGAGGGGUAAUAAAGCAAGAGUUUUAUAGAACAGCAAGUUUUAAGGUGAUUGGUUGGAGAGGAAUAGAAAUUUUUUGAAGAUGCCAAGUGAGGAAGAUUGAUUUCCUCUGGGACAAAGAGCAUUUUCUUGGAUCUCUCUGGCGUUGGCUUCUAUUGGAUUUUAAUUCAUCAAAAUUGAUAACCUGCAGUCAUAUUAUGUUUCUGGUUUUGUUUUUGUCCUUCCCUUGUAAUCUUUAUUAUGUUGACUUCAGGGCCACUCUUUCAAAAUUACUUUUCAUAUUAUAAAUUCGUUUCUUAUUAAGACAAAAAAGAAAAAGUACAGGAAUGAGCCAAAAACAAAUGCAAAAUAAUAUAAUAUUAUCUAAUCAGUUAUGCAGAACAAGAACAUGAAUCUAAGAGACGAGGGUUUGAAAUGUGAAAAGCAUGAAUCCACGAAAUAAAUACCAGACUGUGAAGCACAUUUUCUAGUACAUGAGACAUAAGCACUAAGCAAUACGAAAAGCAAAAACAUGGUAGAAGAUGAGUCGCAAAAAAUAAGCAUAGGUCAAGUUACCCUUCAAAAACAGAAUCUUAUUGUUUAACCAGCUCCAUGCAAAUGAUAAAAUUUAUAGUUUGACUUUACAGUUUGUCCAAUUACCAAAAAGAAGUAAAUUUCAGACACGUUCGCCACAAAAUUCUAGAAAGUAUGAACUAUACACAAUUAAUUUUCCAUGCCUUUGAAAAAUAAAACAUGAUUCUUACUUACUGUUAGCUCAGGAAAAAGAAUAUCAUAUUGAGGGCACACCCCUAGUCCUUUCCGUAUCUCAUCCUACAGAACAUAACAUAUAGAUCACCCAUUAGAAUUCCCCCAAAACAAAGUGGAGGGGAAAUUACAAAUAAAAUUAUUUAAAAAACCUACCAAAACAAAGCAUUGACCAGUAACACAAAUAAAAGCAGAUUUGCUAAUAGUACAUAAGCCAAGCAAAUCCAAAAGAAACACUAACCUUUAACAAUCUGAAGUGAAAAUAAGUAAUUAACUAAAGCAUCUUUGCACAAAUAUCAGUGUUUUCAUUAGGAUAGGACCAACUAGAGACAAAGAAAAGAAAAUCUAAUUGUUUCACUGGAAAAUAUGUGUUCCAUGGACGUGUAUUUUCCACCUUAUACAAAAUUGAACCGUCUAAAAGGUGGAAAAAUAAAUCAAUUACCAUGUCUGCAGUGAUAUUCUUUCCAAAGACCAAAGCAUCCCCUGUUGUUGGAGGAAUAAGGCCAACAAGCAUGGAUAUUGUUGUACUUUUACCGGCUCCAUUGUGUCCUUCAAGAUAAUGACAUGAAAUCAAUACACCAGAACAAAUUAUCUUGCAAAAUGCCAUAUCUUGUUCCUUCUUUGAUAUUUUAGGGGCAAGGCGUGGGGCCAGACAUGCACAGUCAAAAAUAAUUAAGUCUAUCCUCUUUAAUAUAUUAUUUUCAGACUACUUUAUUUCAAUCACAUUAAGCUUCGAUAUUGAAGGACCAAUAUGAAGGCCCAACUCAACAAUAAGCAAAACUGUAAGAGGUUAGAGGAAAGCAUAAAAUGGUUCUGCAACACAUUAUAAAAAACAGCAAAAUUUAAAAGUGCAAUAAACUGUUAAAGCUUCCCUUAAAAAAAUAACGUGUGGAAGUGUAAUGUACAAACUACCUUAUUCAAGUCCAGAAGCUCCUAUAGGGUAACAAAAAUGAUGUCCAACUUUUGAAUUUAUUUCCAAUCCUUUGAAACAAGUUUCAACAUUUCAUCAGUCUGAUUGUAUCAUUAGGUAAGAUUUUGAAAAGCUAUAUUCAUGGGUAGAUUAUUAUUGGGGAUAUGCUUGCUCAUAAACAUUAGAUACUUUGAUUCAAUGACAAAAGCAAAAGGACGGUUAUGUCAGCUACAACAUUGUUAACUAUUUUAAAAAAGAAGUCAAGUUCUAAGCUGGUUUAUUUAGAAAUUACUGCUCCAGCCUCUAUGUACAGGUCAAAGAGAGCUCUAAGAGUGAAGAAAUUUGCUGCAAUUUACAUGGUGAAAACAUCAUGCGAGAAGAAUUAAAGAAAAAUAACUAGCAGCAAAACAAUGUACUGUUGAUAAAAAAAUAUAAAAAUAAAAACCCAUAAAGAAAUACACAUUUGUCGAAGUCUACAACACUAAAAUGCAGGAGGUGAUAUGCCAGAUUAAGGAUGAAAGAAUCGAAAACUUUCAUUCCUAUAACAAGAUGACUAGCGAAACAAACUUCCACACUGCAUGUGAUCCUGAUCAAAUUAUAACUUGGAAAACAAACGUUUACAUUGUUACACACUUAAAAAAUCAGACACUAAACAAAGAGCAAGCUACCUGAAUUAACUUAAAAACUAUUACAGCCUCUGUAUCAGUAUACAACCACAGACAAAGUGACUAAAACCAAAUCAACCACAGAUAUACGUGCAACAUCUAGCAAUCCAGGAUCAAGCUUUGGAGCAAAAAUAUAAUAAAGAGCAACUACACAGUACAAACAACCGUGAAGAGAAAAGAAAAGGGGGACAGAUGCAACUCACCAAGAAGUGCAAGAAUCUGAUUUUCAUACAAGGUUAGCUGUAGUGAGUUAACUGCACAGCAAUUCCCCCUUUUAGUGGCAUAUACCUUAUGCAGUUUCCUAAUUUGAAUACAUCUGCGAGGCAAAUAUAAAAUUAGAAGGAAUAACCAACAUAAAUGAAUCAGUAGCAGUGCCUCUAGUUAAAUAGCAUACCUUCCAUCAACUUCUUGCUGCUUCAUGUCCAAACUUAUUGCCUCCACAACAGGUUCACAAGCAUCUAAUGCAAAAGCACACUCCUUUUCUUUGGAUAGCUUCUUAUUAAUUUUAACUUCUGCACUGGAUACAUGAUGUUUAAUAACACUUUUCUUUCUCCGGAAACAAUUCUGGAAUAUGAAAUUCCAUCGAUAGCGGACUCCAUUUUCUUUAGGAAGAACCUAAAUGGAUGAACAUACACGGAAAAGUUUCAUAUAAGAUACCAUAUAAAAGCAGUCAAAAGACAUUUAGCAUUUACAAAACCUAGGAAAGUUGUCAAAAAUGAACUACAAUAAAGUAAAUGACUCAACAACACCUAGCAAAACUUGAUUUCUUCAACUAGUGAAAUUCGAGGAUCAUCAACAAAGCAAUUAUGACUUAAGUAUUAUAGAAUAGAUGUCCUAGACAUUUUUAUCCUUGAACUCUAUGUCUCCAGAUCAUAAAAGUAAUACCACGAAGAUGGCAAGGAUGCGAAACACCACUAUUCUUUAUCUUCUCUAGAAUUUGUAGGCUUUUAAAAUACUAAGGAUAAAUUUUUCUGUUUUGAUUCUACUCUUAUAAUCAUUAUUUUGAGGGAUUAUUUUAAUUGAAAUAACCGACAUGAGAGAAAUAAAUAUUAUUCUGAUCAACAUAAAGCACCGUAAAUCAUUACAUUUAAUCUGUGUAUUAAGGAGUACACAAAAUAAAAACUUUUAACUGUUGUGAAUUAUCAAGUAGAAAUCCUUGAAAUUUCUUGUAACAAUUGAACAGUUAUCAGGGAGAUCAAUGUAUGGAACAACCGACAUUACACAUGAAUGUAAUUUUACCAAAAAAUAGCAUAAAUACCAACACAAUUUUCACCAACUUUAAAAGAGAAGAGAAAGGACUCUCAAAAUAUACCUUAUCCAGGUAAAGACCAAUCACACCAUAUAGCAGAGUGUCAAGCAACAUCAUUAAGAGGCAGACCAAAAAAUUCACUCCAGAUGAUGCCUACAGUGAUCACAGUCUAUAAAAUUGGGAAACAAGAAGGACAAAGAAAAAGGGAGGCUUAUAACAAUUAAAGACAGGUAAAUCUCCAAAGAUGGAAUAUACCCGCCACAUGUUGCUCCAACGAAGUCCAACAUGAGCACGCUCGUAAUCUGCAAAGUUGACAGAUCCUAGAGCAAACGCCGUAGGAGAAAGAAGAGAAGCAAUGACCUUCAAUACCCUAUAAGCAGAAAAUGCAAAUGGAAUAGGAUGUAAGUGUUUGCAACAAAAGACAUCCAGCUUAAAAAAUUUUCUUCAGUAAAGACAGUCCCAACAAAAUAGUUCAUAGCAUGAGUUCUCACAUAGGUACAGCCUCAUCAUUCACAGUAUAAUACGGAAAGAACGCCCCAAGAAAAGAGAGGGUUCCAACUGCCACAGCUGUUUUUGCUCGUGCGAAAAAUGUAGAGAUAAAAAAAGAGAGCGUAAUUGCACUGAGUCCAAAAGAAAAGAAAUAAGUAAACACCACUGUCUUAUCACUAUACUUGAAAAGGCUGUCCAUGGUACAAGCUGUAAUGAUCCCAGACGAAACUGCAAACUGCAAAAGAAUUAAUCACAGGAAAAUUAGAACUCAGAUUUAAGAAAAUAUAUGAUGAGUGAAUAUUUUGUAACUUGUGAUGGUACUAAACUUGAAAAUCACAUAGGAAAUAAAUCGUCAACGGACCAAUCUAUGCAUGGAGUUUUUAACCAACUGCAUACAACUGAUUUGAUCCAGAAAGGCAGCUCAAAUACACUAGUCACCAAAGUAGAAAUAAUAACUCUUCAACUUUGGAAACUACGCAUAGAACCAAAUAACUAAAAAAAUAAAGAUAGGCACACUGAUUUGGGACAUCAUGAACAAAAAAGCAGGAGGACAGAAAAGAGAAAUAAAAUGGGGUGAGAAAAGAGAAAUGAUAUUAGAGAAAAAGAAUAGAAGAGACAAAAAUCAGCAAGUAACGAGACAGAAAAAAAGAAGAUAAUCUAUGAUUUAAUUAUAAUUAAAUAAUAAUUAAUUAGAUGCUGUCUAUGACUUGAAGGUAAUCAUCUCCAACUAUGUGAGCAGUAGACCAUGACAACAAUAAUUACAGAUUUUAAUCUAAAAGAGAUUAAAAGAUUGAAUUGGUCAAGAGGUUCAAAAGGGGAGUAAAGCAUUUAUUGUCAGAAAAUCCCAACAGAUGCAAAGAAGGAAUUCAAUAAUGAGGAUUUAACCAAAAGGAAAAAUAGAAACUCGCCUGUGCAGCAUAUGUAAUAAACCAAGAGAGAUGAAAUAUGCCAUCUUUCAAGCCCAUCAUGUACAGACCUUCUCUUAUCUUUUGUUCCUGCAGUAGAAGAAGAAAGCAACAAACAAGUCUGGAGUCAGGAAAGUAUUCUCUCAAUCAAGAAACAGUCAAUAAAAGAGAAGCGCUAGCAGAAACAACAGAACACCUAGAUCCAUCAUAACUUCUAUGUCAAUAUGUCACCAUACCUUCUCAAACACAGAAUAGCUGAUCAAGCGAGAAAUUGGAUAGAGAAAACCUAGCAAAUACCUGCUCAUCCCAGAUGCCUAAAUUAAUAAUAAAAUAUGAAUGCACAACUUGCUUUAUUUAAAUUCAACUUGAAAAAACCAUAAUAUAUAGAAUAUGAGAGGAUAGCAGAAUGACAUAUUAUUUUAGCAAGACAUACAGUACUCCCAUGACCCUCUUGAUAAUAGACUGGAACUCAUCAUCAGUGUAUUCACGAGUUGGAAAGGGAACCAUUUGUAUAUUAGAAGGGCUAUACAGGGUCCAUGGCUGCUUGAGGGACAAAUGUGUGCCAGACAAGUUUGAUGGUGGAAUUUCUACGUUUUCAGUUGCAACAUUAGCUCCAGGUUGCUGGGCUGCAAAAAUUAUGAACGAAUCUAACACCUGUUGAAGCUGCAAAAGAGAGAGCAUGGGUAACCACAAUAACAUAUUUUUCACAAAUUGUCAAUGGCAGUGGCUAUGAUUUCAGUCUUUCUGGGAGAUGAGAAAUAUAAAAUCAGAAUGUGAAGCAGAAAAUAGAAUAUGCAAAAAUUAAUAAAAAGAUUUUGAAUUCAGUAUGCCAACAUUCUUAUAAAAAAACCCAAAAAAAAAAAAUAUCAGUAUGCCAACCAAGUAACAAAGAUGAGAAAAAAGUUCACAAAACAUAAACCCAGAAAAAGAGCAAGAUAGAGAGACAUAUUAUGUCAUUAACACGACCAUAUGACCAACCCUAUCCCAUUUGAAACUGAAAUGGCGAUAUAUGAGCUGAGGAAAAACCAUUUGCUCUCUUUAACCCACGAAGUUACACUCCCAGGAUGACCAGUUUACACUUAGAAAAAUUCAAAAGAGGUUAAGAGAUGUACAGCUAUUUGAUUACAAGUCUUUAAACUAGGCUACAAUCAUGAGAUCCAAACAAUGAAGGUUGCCAAAAAGCAUUACCUAUUCCUUAAUUACAGAAUUCAUUCUGAACUACUAUUUAUUUAUUUUGUUUGCUUUUAUAUCUUGCUGAUUUUGGAAUUAGUCACUAUUGCCUAAAUGCUUACAAGUUGUACUGCAAACCUCUAUGAGAUAAUACCUUCUCUCCUAUAGCUUCAACAAGACAGUUGAUCAAGUAAACAGUAGCUAUAGAUAAUUUAAUUUCGUCCAAAUACUUUAUACACAAGAAGUAAAUAACUGCUUUAUAAUAUAAAAGCUUAGACUGGGUAAAUAAUCACACCUUUUCUAAUAGGGAAUAGAAAUAAUUUGUUAAGAAUAAAAAAUAUAAGGUAGACAAUGUGUGGACUUAAUACUGAAAAAAAUAGCCUGAUAUAUGAACUCUGCUUUCACAAAAACACUCUGUAAGCUGGUCUAUCCAUUUAUGCAGUGUGUAAAAGGAACCACAUAUCAGCAUUUCAAAACAACUCUCAAGUGAUAAUCAAGCUCAUACAACUAGAUGUUUCCAUAUGCUUAAACAUUAAAAAUCAGCAAUUGGGCAAAAAUUGCAAUAGCUGUCACAAAACCACUUAAAUACUGCAUCAGUCAUAGCAGCGAUAUGCCAAAAGCAGAACAAAUACUUCUAACUAUACAAUCUAAAAGACUGGAUCGAAGACAAAAUAAAAUGAUAACUAUAGUGGAGAGAGGUUUAAGCUGUCAUACAGUCAAAAAUCCACUGAAGCUGUAUUGCAUUGUUGGUAUUAUAUUAACACCCAAUUCUAGGUCAUUGAGAUAAGGGCCGUUUGUAUCCAUAAUAGUUUUAACAUCAGGAAACCCAGAGAAUGCCCACGUGUGGUUGAGGCGUAUACUAUAAUCAAAUAGCUCAGGACCUUGAUCAUGAAAAACCACUGCUCCUUUAAUUUUUGGAUUCAAACAAUCCCUAAACAAAGACAACAGGAAGGAAAAAAAAAAAAAACCAAGUCCAUGAGUUCUCUAGUGCCAUGGCCAAGCAUAAAAAAGAUGACUUACAGUAAACAUAGACAGUUACAUGUAUAACUAAUAAGAUCAAUAAUUUAAAGGUAAUUUAUAAGAAAAUCAUUUUCGUUGUAUAAGAGAGAAAUAGUUAUGCAUAGAAUAGAAUGCAUCCAAUGUAGGCAAACAAACACAAAUCCAGAAAAAUCAAAUAAAAGGAAAAAAAAAGGAAUGAAAAUAAACAUGGAGAACUAAUAUAUCCAACUAAGUAUAAAAUUAGAUCUCUAACUGCAACAUUAAUCAUAUGAAAUACAGCCAAAAACAAACAUCUUUGAAUUUGGCAAGCAUGACAUAUCACAGCGGGAAAAGAAGCUGAAAUUGAAAAAAGUAUCAUUUAAUUUUAAAACAGGUAGUAGUUAAAAACUUUGAGCUCCUGGCUUAAUUUUGGAAUAUUAAAGGGUGGUCACAUAAAAAGCAACCAAAAAAAAAAAAAAGAAUAGUAAUAAAUAAGUAUAAUUAUCUAUUUGAAAAUUGCUUGAUCUCAUAAUUAAUAUCGUAAGAAUGGUUCAUUUACAGACCAGCAUGGCACCACAAUAAAACAGAUAUAACUUACUUGACUUGACUGCAAGUACCAUAGAGGUCUGAUCUUAUGUAGGUUUCCAACUCAAGCUCAUCUUUGUAAAUUCUGCUGACUAGCUGCACAUACGACAUUGAAAUUCAAUUAGCUGGAAUAAAGGAAUUCAUAAUGGCACAUUGCUUGUAUAUAUCAGUUAAAUUAUGAAAAAAAAAAUUGUUUAACACCCAUAAUUUACUUAUAUAUAUAAAAAUUGAGACCACAGAGUCAACGGCUUGCAGGAGGAAAGGCAAAAAUAAAGCUAGGUUGCCAUUCUUCUUUUCCUUUUUUCCCACUGUUCUAGUUGGUGACAUUCAAAGAUAAGAUCGAACCUAUCCCACCCAACCAAUCAACACUUGAGCAGAGUCCUGGUCAUUCUGUUAACAAUAUACAGAUGCAAUACCUCUUUGGUAGAUAAGUCACAUUUAAGAUUU
rnacentral:lncRNA from 1 species